CUUUGUUAUUUUUUAAAACAAUGUGAAUUUUAAGAUUUUAUUGUACAAAUUUUCUCCUAAUAUGUUGAAAAUAUAAUCAUUAAAUAUAUAUAUAUACUAACGUACCCGUACCCAUGAUUUUUUGAAAAAUGCCGCACCCGUACCCGUAUCUGGUACCGUACCCGUACUCGUGCAUCCUAGACGGAAUCCAUAACUUGAAACUAGCAAUUUUAUUGCCAUAACAGCAAUUUUAUUCCAUGUCUAUUCCUAUAGAACACAACAUUGUUUGAUAUAUUUAAAGCAAAAUGACAACGAAACUAAAGACGGUAAAAGAUGAUGCAAGGGUUCAAAGGGCUUUGAUGAUCUCCUCAGCACUGGAGACGGUGAACUCUCCUCCAUCUUCAACAUUUGCAACCUUCACCUUCAGGUCUUCCACCAGCAGAGCAAACCUCCUUGAGCGAGUGCCAAGACCUUUGUCAUUGAGGUCAAGCUCCAGCCCGAGAUCAUGGGUGUAUUUGGCAGAACCAUCAGCAAGGAACUUCACAUGCUUGUUCUCUGGGAAUGUUUUGGCCCAUGAACUCAUCACAAAAGGAUCAUUCACUACAAAAUCAAAAGCAAUCACUUAUUAGCCACACUAAGAGAGACUUUGAUUACAAGCAUCAUAAAAGGUUAUCUAAGUGCAUGUUUGAAAACUAGUUCCAAAACAUCAAUGAAGCCAAAAUCAGGGUGCCAAAAUCAGGGUGCCGUAGUUUUCAAGAGUUUCCAAACAUGAAGUACUCCAAAGUUCAUUGAAUCCAUAUGACCAUAUCGCCAGAUAGCAAGACAAGGAAUAAAAACAAAAACUAUGAUGUGUUCCAUCUUAAUUGUAAAUUAAACAACUACAUCUACCCCUGUGUCACUGUGUGACCAAAUAAAAAUUGAAUAAUCAACUAACAAUGAAUGUAUGAGAGAUUUGUUAGGGGUUUGGAUCAAUGAAUGUAGACAGAAAACUGGUUAUUAUGCAUAACAACAGAAAAAUAAUAAAUCAACUGACAAACUGAUAUAAAAACUGAUUCCUCAAAUCAAGUCAUCUCAAAUACAUGCAAAUUCAAAUUAAAAUGUAGCCUUAAUCUUUAGGAAUAACAAACAUUAUCCUAAUUUGAAACAAAUGCAUCAAAAUCUUAAAAGAACAAAAAAAAAAACAAAAUCUUAAAAACAAUAUACUCUUAAUUGCAGCCAUUAUAGGCACAAUAACAACAAAGUUGAUCAAGAGUUUUCAUAAUUCAGUUCAGUUCAAUUUUGAAUCUCACAUGAAAGUUUCAAAAGUUAGCAAUCAUAUACAUGAACAUAUGAAUUUUGACAAUCAUCAAUUAACAAACAAGGAGGGCAAAAUUAUGAUAUGACUAAACCCUUACCACUGAUGCAGAUCAAUUCAUCAACACCCUUUGAUUUCAGCUCUUCUGCCCUUUCAAUGAAGCCAGGCACAUGCUUCAGGCUGUUCAAAAAAAAAACACUUGUAACAAAUUAAACAACAAACUAGCCCCAAUUUAAGACAAAUCCACCAUGAUCCUCAAUUUCAAUCUAAUUAUUCAAAAGGGGUUUGUUUUACUCCAUAAUCCACACACAGAAUGUAAUUUCUUUUUCAUAAAAAUCAAAACUUUGGCAAAAUGAGGGUUAAUCUCAGAUACCCAGAAGCAGUUUUCCGAUUCUUAAUUGAUUUAUCAUCAAUUGGUAUCAAAAUUGAAAGGUGAAAGCAAAAAUAGAGAAAAGGGUAUAUACCUGCAUGUGGGAGUGAAGGCACCGGGAACACCGAAGAUGAUGACCUUUUUGCCGGCAGCGAGAGAGUGAAUGGAGACAGUUUGGGGGGUGUUUUGGUCAUCCAGGUAAGCCAAGAUGCCAUCGGGAAUCGAAGCACCAACAUUGAUCGGAGCCAUUGAUGAUAACGAAGGUUGUUGAUAGAUGAUGAAACUGGGUUUGAGAAAUGAGACAAGUGUGUUUCUACUCCUAACCUGAUCCCUUCUUUAUAUAAUAGUAGACUAGGGGUAUAAUUGUCAUUUUAAGGUGUUAUAUAUUUGUUAACUUUUUAAGGAUAACAGAAUAAAUUUCAAAAAUAAAGAUUACCAGAAUAGGAUUUUCAAAAAGAGGAUAAUACUAUUGUUUUGUUGGUUUAGAGGAGUAUCAUGCUGGUUUGGCGGGUAUCCUUUCCUCCAAUUUGGAGAUUUCUUAGUAAAGAAAGUUCAUAUUUCUGUAAAAAAAAAAACAGAAUUUGAUAUUUUCAUUAAUAAUAAUAUUAUUUAUUUAUUUAUUUAUUAAUAAUAUUUUUAAAUUAUCAAUAUGUAAAAGUAAAAUUGAAUUGACCUAUAAAUUAGUAACAAUGUUUUUUUGAACUAAUUAGUAACAAUAUUAAUUAGUUGUUAAAUAAUAUUUUCUGCUAUUCAAUGUUUUUUUUUAUCAAUGUUAUUCAUUGUUUUUUUGUUAUAUGAAUUGAUGAUUCAUGAUUGUCACAAAAAAAAUAGUUUCCCAUAUUUAAAAAUUCUUAUCAUUAUUUAAAUUUCAAUUAUUAAUGACAACAAAUGGACUUGAACAAAUAUUAAAUAAAUAAAAUUGACUUGACCUUCACAUUAAUUUUUUUUUGAAGUCUUCAUUGAUAAUUUUAUUAAUUAGUUAUGAAUAACUUUUUAUACUAUUUAUCAUAUUAAUUACUAAUUGUAAAACUUUUCAAAUAUCUCAUUAUGAAUGAUAACUUGAGUACAAAAGUUUAAAAUAAUAAUAUCUUUCGACAGAAAAUAAUAUAUUAAUAAUAAGUAAAAUCAAAAUUGACUUGAUCUAAAAAAAAUUAACUUGAUCUCCACAUUAAUUACAAUAUUAGUGUCUUUUUUAAGAGGAGGAUGUAUUAACUCCAAGAAUCAAUUAAAAAACCUACUCCAAAUCUUAACCGUUUGAUUAUAUUAAAAUAUAAAGACUAAGAUUAAAAGAUAACGAUCCCUCACGUGUCCCUUCCUUGCCUUGCCCUACCACCUAAAAACAAGCCGCAAACCACCCAUUGAACUAACUUUUGUGUUCCGGGAUACAAAUUCCGGAAGCUUCCAGGUUCUAAUUCUCGAAACUUAAAUUUAACCUUUAAUUUCUUUGUGUUCCCGAAAGUGGAGGAUAUUAUGAGAUUUCAUGGGUUGGUUUUAUCAUUGGGCUUUACCCAUGGGUUUGUUGGCCCAAACUUGAUAGUUCUUACUUCUUAACCUAAGUUGUUUUCUCCAACACUACUAGUUUCUUUCUUCUCUGCAAGUUAAAUCAGAAGAAGAAGAUGGCGUUGACGGAGGAGGACAUAACGAAACUCCACCGUAUCCGCAAGACGGUGAUGCAGAUGCUCCGCGACCGCAACUACCUCGUCGGCGACUUCGAGAUCAACAUGUCCCGUCACGAGUUCAAAACCAAGUACGGCGACAACAUNAUCAACAAAACCAAGAAAGACGGUCCCUCCGACCAGAUCUACGUCUUCUUCCCCGACGAACCCAAAGUCGGCGUCAAGACAAUGAAAACCUACACCAACCGCAUGAACAGCGAGAAUGUCUUCAGGGCUAUUCUUGUUUGUCAAUCGAACCUAACCCCGUUUGCGAAAACAUGUAUCUCUGAAAUGUCUUCUAAGUUUCAAUUGGAAGUGUUUCAGGUACGAAUUCAUCACCCUUGUUUUGUUUGUUGAUUUGUGAUGGUUGUUGUUGUUGAUGGUGAAUGAUGGUGAGUGUUGGUUGCAGGAGGCGGAGCUGUUGGUUAAUAUCAAGGAGCAUGUGCUUGUGCCGGAGCAUCAGAUUCUUAAUGAGACUGAGAAGAAAACUUUGCUUGAGAGAUAUACAGUCAAGGAAACUCAGGUCUGUAAUCUCUUCAAUUUAGCGGCGAAUAGCGGGCUAUAGUGGGCAAUAGCGGGGUCGCAAUUAGCUAAUAAUCCGCUACGCUAUAGCCGCUAUUUGAUAACACUGAUUAGGGGAGGAAUGAAGUGUAGUCCAGUUUUGUGAUGGGGGGUUUUCAGCUUUUUACUGGCACACAUUAUAUGAUUAAGGCUCAGUUUGGUUUAGGUUGUAGGUUCUCUAGGUUGAAGGAGUUUUUCAAUGGAGAUAUCUAUUUAGUUCCUGUUUAAGGAGAAAGACCUUGAAUGUUUAUUAGUGCUUAUGGAGAAUUUAGCUCAGAAGUUGAUUGGUGGGUUUUCAGCUUUUACUGACACACAUCAUAUGACUAGGGCUCAGUUUGGAUUAGGUUUUAGCUUGAGGGAGCAUUUAAGGAAAAAGACCUUGAAUGUUUAUAAGUGCUUAUGGAGAACUUAGCUCAGAAGUUGAUUGUUGAGAAGUUUAUCAAAAUUAUAAGAGAAGCUAAUAUUUAAAAGACUUAAAGACUUGAGUUAAUACAUGAAAAUUUACACUUGCUUUUCCUGUAAGUGAUUGUUGAGAAGUUUAUCUAAAUUGACUUGUGAAUUGUGGCUUCCCUCAGUAAUACGCACAUGCUUCAAGUAUAGGGGGAGGGGGGAGAGGGCGAGGUGUUUGGUAAAUUUUCAUUUUUUUAAAUUUUUUAUUGUUUAGGUGCUGUCAUAGAUUCUUACAUGUACUUUGAUCUUGUUGUAAACUUGUACUAGGAAAAUGCAGAGAUUAAUCUGACUACAGUGUUUGUCCGAGUUUAAGAAUGAUUGUUCGUAGUUUAUGUUUGGGAAACACACCUAGCUAAAAUCACAGAAGACCAAUAAUUGUGUAAAUUGUCAGCUACUUCCAAUAGAUUUAGUAAAAAUACGCUGUUCUAAUUCUUUGAAACACUGAAUCAAACAUAGGCAUAGUAAUUAUAAACACACUUGUUGGGGGUAAAUGUGUCGUGGCAAUUAAUAGUGCUUAUUCUAUUGACUUGUAUCUGUAGGAGCAACCAGUAGCAGCUUCUGCGAAGUUCAUCUGGAUUCUCAUCCAAGUUUUGAUUUGGUUUAACUAAUAUAUAGGAAAAGUAAAAUGAGUGUUGGUGUUUUUCAUGAAAAUGAAUCUUCUCCCCUGCUUAUUUUCUCUGACGAACAAUGAUCAGAUCUGUGAUCAUUGCUAUUUAGUUGUCCUUCGAGCUUUUGAAUCUAGUUAGAUUGGAAUGGCUUUCUGCUGAAGAAGUAACUGUUACUGUUAGUGUUUAAGUGUUAACUCCUCCGUUCUUUAUCUAAUAGCUGUAGAUACUCUGGAUCUAAUUUAUGCACUUGUCUUGUGUGCAUGUUGCCUCAUGUUACAAUUCUAGUUUUCUACUACAAAAUGCUGCAGAUUCUGACAUCCCUAAUAUUUAUGACUGCUUCUCAGCUACCUAGAAUCCAGAUAACGGACCCUGUUGCUAGAUAUUAUGGACUGAAGCGGGGACAGGUCGUCAAGAUAAUCCGGCCAAGUGAGACUGCAGGCAGAUAUAUUACAUACAGAUUUGUUGUAUAAGAAUUUCCUUGAACUGACUGGCUGUACAACUUUUUCAAUAUGUUACCUACUCAUUUAUAAGAAGCAUGGACAAGGGAUAUUUAGGCUAUUUUGUAAUGGUUGAGCAUACGACUUGAAAUAUGUUAUCAUGGUUGGUAAUGUUAGUCUCUUAUGUGAAACUUCAUUGCCAUAAAUUAUUCACCAAUGAACUCUUUUGGUAAGUUGGUAUUCUUUUCUUUUUGGAUUUUGUUUUGUUUAGUGAUUAAAAGUCUCGGGAGAGGGAAUGGGAGGGUCACUUAUUUCUUCAUUGCUGGGCAUUGGGUUGCUUGCUUUACUAUACAAAUUAGUGGCUUCUUAGUGCUUCCUAGUGGUUAAUUUAUGUACUUUAGUUAAUUUGUUUAGUUGUAAAGAAUUCUCCAUUUGUAAAGAACCCUCUUCUCAUAAUUCCUUUAUUCUGGAUUUCAUGUUAUUAUGAAUGUAAAUUAGCAGGGAGUAGAACAGUUAUAUUCACUUGACUUCAAUCUUCAAGUACUUGUAUAGGAAGUGAAAAUGGAUACUCUUUUAUUUUAUGCCCCUUCCUACACUUCAUAAGAAUGGCUACUUAUUUGUACGGUGUAAUAUUGACUUGUUCCCUGUGUGGAUUUGUAUGUUAUUUUCCCCUCACAGUGUCAGCUUCAGUUCAAAAGAAUAGCAACUAUAAUGCAAUAUCAGAUUUUAGUAGUUUUGAUUUUCUCUGGUAUCCAUGAGAAAGUUAGCAUGUCUGGAUUAGUUUGGUGCGGAAGGUAUGCAACACAUUCCAUAUUAGAAUGAUGUAAAAUAAAAAGCAAUAUGAAAUUGAAAUGGUUUUAAAUUAUUAUUAUUUGUUUGGCAAAAGAAAAAGAUUAUAAUGGUUUUCACAGUACUCUAGCCUCCAAUUCAUCAAAUUUGAUCUUCAAAAAAUCUUUAAGCUCUGUUGUCACUAAAUACUUUGGCACUGACUCCUUCCUUUACUGUAACCACAAUAGGCACAAUAUUUGACACAACUACCCAAUUCAACAUUCUGUAAAGAACAAAUAAAAAACAGAAGCAUAAGAUAUUUACAUUUUUUAAGUUUUUAAUUUCAUUUAAGACAUCAAUUCUUGUGAGAUGGUGAAGUGAGUCUUCACUUACCUUUUAACUUUUUUGCUAAUCAAAGCAAGUCUUGUCAACUGGAACCCAGAAAGCAUACUGCCAAACUUGAGGAGUUCCACUCACGGAAAAAUUCAUGUGGUUGAUACUCGACAUUUUUCAGAAGAUUUUCCACUGACUCGGAAUGUUAUUUGUAAAUGUUUGUAAUUGACAAACUUAAGAUAAUAUAGGAAUAAAAAAAAUGUUACAACUCAUUUUGUUCACUCCAUCGUCCAAUCAUCGUUCAAUAUCAAAACAAUCGAAAGAGAUUUUUAUUUCGUUCCAUCCCUUUCAGUUUAAUUCCUUUCUUUUUCACUUAGUUACAUUUUUUAUUAUCCUUGUUUCAGUUGUUUGGAAUCUCAUUUAUCUUUGAACUAGUUCAAUAUUAAAUAUUUAAACUUUUUUUCCAGCGAGCUAGAGCUUAGCAUAUUAGAAAUUCGUAACAACUUUUGUUGUGCUUUUAUUCAUAAGUAUCAUGAGUACAUAACCAUAGGAGCUAUGGAUUUGUAGCUCAUUAUUUCCCCUCUCUGGUCCCUCUCACUGCAGUUUCACUUGCUUAACUUUGAGCAAGACAAAGCUAAGACCUUAUAAUAGGGAGAUGAAUUUGAUAAGAACAUCGACUGCGUUUUGUGAUGCUAAUGAGGCAAACACAUCUGCUUCAUUGGACAAUGCAGAACCCCCACCAGCCAAAUCAGACAGUGAUCUAAACGCAAUGAAGGGUGUUUUCUGUUGGAGACAGACUAAAGCGACAGCAGCACUUUCCAUGUCAAUUGGGGUGACAUCAAAUUUGGAGUUCAAAAACUCUCUAUAAGCUCUGUUGUCAACGAACACAUUGGCACUCACCCCUCUAUGUACUCUCACAACAAUAGGCUUUCUUGGCAAGCAGGUUGUGUUCACACAACCACCCAAUUCAACAUUCUGUAGAGAACAAGUAACAUAAUGAGCCAAUCACAUAAUUUUUUGGUUUAAUUUUUUUUGUCUCUCUACUUAGAUUGAAUAAUUCCUCCAAUUCUUUUUUUUUUUACUUUGGUCUUCAACACUAAUGAAAUAUACGGAGUUAGUAUCUGCUGUUUAUUUUAUGACAAUCUUUGCGCAUUAGUGAGAGUUUAAGCCACCAUAAAAUGCACAUUUCAGGAACUAACUUCCGUUAUUUUAUUAAUGCUAGAGACUAUAAGGUAUGGAUUUUUUUUGGAGGGACUAAAUUCAAUCCACCUCUAUUUUAGGAAGACCAAAAACUUAUUUAAUCCUAUAAUUAUUUUUUUUAUUUCCUUUAAGAUAUCAAUCAUGACGAAGUGUUGAAUAACAUGUUUGAAUUAACUUAUCUUUCAUCAAAAUCAAUUCUUUUCCUCAAAAUCUAUACUUAUUGUGUAAAAAUUAAUUUUGUUUUCAGAAUCAAUUGUAAAAGGAUUUUUAAAUAUGAAGGAAAUAAAGUGGGGGUUGAGGUUAACUACCUUGAGCUUUUUUGCAAUUUUAAAGUAAGUCUUGUCAACUGGAACCCAGAAAGCAUGCUGUCUAACUUCAGGAGUUCCAUACACUGGGAAAAUUUCCUCUGCUUCAUACCAGACAUUGUUCAGAAGAUUCUCCACAUGUUUUGUGUGGUUAUUGUAGUCGGAAAAUUUCAGAUAACCAAUUUUUCUGUUGUAAUCUCCGUUGGCUUCUAACGGCAAUUCAUCUUCAGGGCCAUCUCCAAGCCUCUGCAUAAUUUAAUCAGAAAAUUAAUGGCUUAAUACAUCAGAAGACCCCUGUAAUUGUAAAGGGGAUCAAAUCUAGGGCCUAGAAAAAUUUUGCAUCAAAUUGGGUCCCUAGGAAAUUUUUUUUAAUUCAAUUAAGGCCAAAGUGUGUCAGCCUUCAAUUUUAUCAUAGUCAUCAAUUCCACGUGGCUUUUAUAAAUUUUUUUAAUUAAAAAAAUUAUAAAAAAUUAAUUUUUAUUUCCAACUCAAUUAUUUAAUCAGAAAUUGUUUUUUAAUUACUCAAUCCCAAAUUAAACCCAAUCCCAAUUUUCCCCCAAAUUAAAACAUUUUCACCCCCAAAUUAAACCCAAUCCCAAUCUUCCCUCAAAUUGAACCCUAACUGAGGAGAGAACAAGAAAAUUCAUUCUUCUUCUUCUUCCCCACUCCCACCCACCCAACAAACCCAGAAGCUUCAAUGCUGCACCUACUUGAUUUGUUCAAGCCUUAUGGAACCAUUAUAUCGGUUGAGGUUCUUGCCUUCUUUCCAUUUGUUUCAUGUGUUGAAUUGUUUUUUGAUUUUUCUUGUUCAUGUUAUGGGUCUUCACCUCAUGUCUUCACCAUUUUUAUAAUUUUUUAAUUAAAAAAAAAUUAAAAAAGACACUUGGAAUUGAUGACUAGGACAAAAUUGAAGUGUGGCACACUUUGGCCUUAAUUGAAUUAAAAAAAAUUUAUUAGGGACCCAAUUUGAUGUAAAAAUUUUCCAGGUCCUGAAACUGAUUCCCUUUACAAUUUCAGGGGCCUUCUGAUGUAUUAAGCCAAAAUUAAUUAGUCAAAUCAAGUUACUAUUUUAUUUAUGUUUGGUUGAUUCACGCUGCUUUCAUAUUUUGUUUUUGUUUAAUCUUCCGGUAAGAAAUGAAUGGUCACACUGGCACUCUAACCAUUGGAUGCUAGAUUGCUGAGCAUUCAAAUGGGACUAAUGGUAUUAAACAAAGUUUUUUUUUAAAUAAAAAAAUAAAUUGAUGUAAAUAUGUAAGAAUAGGUCUAUGUUUUUUUUGAACAUGAAUAGGUCUAGGUUGAAGGUGCCUUAAGGUGAACCUAGUAUCACUAUGUUUAAUUUUUUUUUUUUUUUUUGAAAAGCACUAUGUUUAAUUCUUGUUUUCUAGUCACAGUUUUUUAAUUAGAAAAUAUUUAUUCAAACAGUUUUUCUUCUUAUAUUUUAAAAAACAGUUUUUAAAUACAGAAAAAUAAAACUACAAUCAAACAAGCAUAUAAUGGGUGAAAUGAAAAAGAAUAGGGGUAAGAAGGUCUAUCUUAUCCUACGAUAUUUUUAUAUACUAAUAAAUACCUAUGUUUAAACAUGUCAAUAGUGAAAUGAACUAAAAUAUACUUACAAAAAUAUACAUAUAAAUACACUAAUAAGAUUAAUAUUGAUUAAUUGUUCAAAAACAAAGAUUAAUAUUGAUUAAUAUAUAUAAAUGUGGUUGGCUUUCGAAGACUUGAAAGUUUAUUGAGAAUUCUAAAGGUAUUUUAGUGAGUCAUAAGUUUAUUUCUGAUUAAAGUUAUAAUUAAUCAACAUGUUGAAAUAUGUAAAUAAGUCAAUAAUGUAUAAUUUCAAGAUGAAUUUCAAAAAAAUAUAUUUCAAGAUGAUAUAAUAAAAAAAUAAGAAUAUGAAUUUAUAUAAAUUAUAUUUAUUUAAAGACACCGACUUAUUGAGCUUAACUUUUUUUCAAAAAGUUUGAAUCGACUUUUUUUUUAAUUAAAUAGACUUUAAAAAAUUAUUAAAUCUAUUUAUUCAUUAAUAUGAUCUUAUUUGAUUUGAGUCUGAUGUAGACUAAGUCUUAGGUCUUUGCAAAUAUCGGAUAUAUUUCUAUCCUAAAAAAAGAAGAUCAUAGCUAGAAACAAAGCAGAGAGGUAUACCUGCCAAACCCAAAGUCCUGUGUGAGCCCAAUACUGGGGUAUAGUCACAUCUCCAACCUGGAGUUUAGGAUUUGCGUUUCCUGCAACUCCAUAGUGGGCAACUCCUUCCACAUGGAACAAAGAAAGCAACAAUUGGGUGGAAAGAGCUGCAUUUGUCUACACAAAAAGUAUAUAUCCAAAAGAUCAAUGAGAAAGGAAUGCAAAAAUAAUCACAAAGUAUAAUUAACUAAGGUGAGAACAAAUUCUCAUCUCAUGUACCAUGCUCAAUCCGGUCAUAACAACUAUAACCUUUUUCUUUUCCAAUUCACCAAUGCGAAAACGUCUUCCUGCAUUGCAAAUUUUAAUCACCACAUAUGCAAAGAAAGAGUAGUUAAGAAAUUACACAUCUUCUUUAGAAGUAUAUAUAAUCAUAUAAUAAUUGAACAGCACGUUGUUGUAGAAGUUACCAGCAAAAUCAACAUAAGGAAACUUUUUAUUGAUCACAAAGCUAGGUGAUUGAAGAAGAGGGUUUAUCUCAAAUGCAUUUGGCACCACUAUCCCAAUAUAUGGACCAUGGCUAUUAAUAUUGCUUAUUUCUCUCCAAGAAAGUUGAGAAAUUUCACCAUAGGCCUUGAUGCUACCACCCAAUAAUACCAUGAUCACAAGAAAACUCAUGAGCAACUCCAUCCUGCUCCUCCAAUUGCUGUGUGUAUCAAGUUCUGAAAGAUCAACGACCAUUUAUGACACGUCAUUAAAGAAUGGUCAAAUACGCCAUACGUAGAAAAUUAUCAUGUGUCUUUGUCCAAGAAAUAACGAAACAAAGGAUAAAAUAGGAGUGGCUCUUAGUUGCUGUAUAUAAAAAUAUAGAGUAAUGAUAUGUACACACCUCAUUUUCUAAACACUUCAUUUCCACCUAUUUUUAUUUCUAUCUCUCUCCUCUUAUCAUCUAUCACAUCUCAUACUUUCUCUCUCUUACUUUUUCUUUUUUUCCUAUAAAAAUAUAUAUAUUCGAAAAUGAUUAUUAUUCACAACAAAACUCACGAACAAAAUCCUGACCGUGAGAUCACAGCUGCCGUACGUAGUUGAAUGAUAUGCAGUCUUACAUGGGUAAAUAAGAGAUCAAGUAGGCCAAUUGGGCUGAUAAACAUGUUGAUUGACAUCUUGAGGACGAUGUCUUUGGUGGAGCAGUGUAGUUAGUGACACACGGUGGUUCAGUUGCAUUUUCUAAUGAUAAGACAAAAAUGUCCUUCAUUUCACAAUUUUUUUUCCAUCUUUCUCCCUCUAUCAUUUGGCCACUUCUCCUCCGCUCUGUUCUCCCUGUGGUCAUUCUACCUCUCUCUUCAUAUUCUUAAUCAUUCAAAGCCAAGAUCUGAUCAUCCAAUUUCCCUUCUUUACAGGUAGUCCCAUGCUUGCUUCAUUACAUACUUACAAUUGCAACCAAACAAUUCUUUCUACCUGUUAAAAAUAUGAGCUUUCUAAUUCAAAUCAACUAAAACUAGGUAUAAAUCUCCAGCAAUGCAAGUAACUAGCACAACCAUCCAAAUUAUUAAGUCAACAAUAACAACACACAAUGUCCAAAUCCAUAUACUUUUCACAUGUCCUGCUUUCAGAGUUGCAUCAUACUGGACAAUUGAGAUAAUUCAUUAGAGGAAGAAAAUGAUAAUGAAAGAAUACAGCAAUCAGAGAGAGAAGGUAAGGGGAAAAAUGACCUAACUCAAGCGAGAGGCCAGCGAGACCAGAAGAAAGGUGAGCAUAUCCAUCAAAUAGAUAGUAAGAUUUAGCCUCAUAAGAUUUACUAGCUGUAGAGUUUCUACUACUUUCCCCGAAAUUUUGAUUAGGGUUCAAUUUAAACAGGGUUGUCUAAAUGACCCAAGAUAAAAAUUGGAUUAAAUCACCAUUGAUGAAGUGUUCCAAUAAUAUUGUAACAUGUGUCUUCAUGAAUUUCAACGACGACGUCUUCGGUGGGUUACUUUAAAAGUGACUCACCGUGGUACACUUUAAUUUUAAUAGUCAAUGACAAUAAUGCCCAUGAAUAUUUUUCAUCUUCCAAAUUUUUUUUUUGAAUCACAAGUUGGCCGGAAUCCAUGGAGGAAGUAAACGUGCAUCAUCACCGGCAGCCCUCCACCGCCUCUCAUCUGCUGGAAAAAUCACCAGAUUUGUGAGUUUGGAUCUUUUAGCUCUUUUCUUACAUUUUCCUUUUUGUUGAUUUGGGAGAGAGAGAGUGAGAGGUAUCACGAAACUCAGCCACCAUGUAGAUCUGCAUCACAGAGGGUUGCUGGGUCACCGGAAAAUUGAUCGGAGGCGCUUGCUUGAGUCACCGUCAGAGAUGACAACGUCCACCGGAGCUCUUGGUGGUGCUGCUAGUUUUGGAACUGGAACGAAGACUGUAGAGAAAAGGAUAAUAUUGGAAUGCAAGUUUAAAAUUAUUUAAAAAUAUCUAAAUCUAAACCGUUGAUUUAUUUAUUAUUAUAUCUAAAGGUAUAUAUUCAACUGCACCACCGUGUGCCAGUUUUUAAGUGUACCACCGAAGCCAACACCAAUUUCAACUCAUUUCAUUGUUCUUUUUAAUUUUAAUUUUUAUAAUACUCACUUUAUUAAAUGGUUAAAUAUGUUUUUAGUCCACGAACUUUUACCGAAAUUUAAUUUUCAUUUCUCGGCCGAUAUAAAUUUCGAAAAGCAUCCUCACGAUUAGAAAAAUAGAUGAUUUUGGUCUUGACCCACUUGCUAUUUGUCACCGUGAGGGAUUAAAAUCAUUUUUUUGUUUCCAAUGAGACAAACAAUUUUUUUUAAUAAAAUAUUGUUAUCCCUUAAUUACCUCAUCUUCAUCAAACCUCAUCACACAAAACCCAAUAAAUUUUCACAUCUUUUUCUUCUUCCUCUUACUCGAUCGAUCCACUCCAAUCUCAUUUACCUCCGCUCAAUCUCUUCUUCUUCUUUUUUUUCCUCUCUCCUACCACUCAACAUAAAAAAAAAUAUCCCAUCACCAAAUCAGAAAAGAAAACCCCAAAAAAAACCAACCCAGAAUUAAAAUAGAUUAUUAAACCACAUUUAAUUUAUUCAUCAAAACCCCAGCCAACAGAUAUAACACAAUGAUUGUUACAUAAACUCAUUCCAAGAGUAUUCAUCAGAUGUGCUACAACGAUUGUUACAGUGGAAGAUGGAAUUAGACUAGGACCAAUGUUUUCCAAAUGAACAAAACAUACAUUUUUUUUUCACAGUGUUCCGAUAUGAACAUAGUAAAUAGUGCGUUAUCUGUGAUCAAUCUCCAUGGUAUGAAUGCACUUUGUUGCAUGAAGAAGAAAAGAAGAGGGAAGAAAGGUUAUAUGGCUCUCAAAUUAGAUAUGACAAAGGCAUAUGAUCGUAUUGAAUGGACUUUCUUGGAGAGUGUUAUGUCAACCAUGGGUUUCCCUCAAAGGCUCAUUGAACUUAUUAUCAAAUGUGUCACCUCGGUUUCUUAUGGAAUCUUGGUGAAUGGGGAGCCUACCUCUUUCUUCUCACCUCACAGGGGGCUCCGUCAAGGAGAUCCCUUGUCUCCUUACUUAUUCAUUCUUUGUGUGGAAGCUUUUUCAGGUUUGAUCCUAGAGGAAAACCAAAGAAAGAAGUUGCACGGAGUACAAGUUGCAAGAGGAGCACCACAAAUCAGCUAUCUUUUCUUCGCAGAUGAUAGCCUCAUUUUUACCCGUGCAACAGUGGAGGAGGCAAACUGCCUACUUGAUGUGAUCAAGAUGUGUGAGCAAGCUUCAGGUCAACUUGUCAAUAUGGAGAAGUCCGAGAUCUCUUUCAGCCAAAAUGUUCCAGAAACCAGUAUGGUGAUGAUCCGUAAUAGGAUAGGAGUAACGGCGGUGGACACUCAUGACAAGUACUUGGGAUUGCCAACCAUCAUUGGGAGAUCAAAGAAGCAGACUUUUGCCAAGGUUCAAGAACGAGUGUGGAGGAAGCUCCAAGGGUGGAAGGAGAAAGCUUUGUCACGAGCCGGAAAAGAAGUGCUACUCAAAUCGGUUGCACAAGCAAUACCCAACUAUGUGAUGAGCUGUUUCAAGCUCCCCAGCGCCACUUGCAACAAGAUUGAGAGUUACAUGGCUAACUUUUGGUGGGGACAAAGAGAAAAUGAGAGAAAGUUGCAUUGGACUAGCUGGAACCAACUGUGCAAACCGAAGGACAAAGGAGGGAUGGGGUUCAGAAAGCUAGAAGAUUUCAAUCGUGCUCUACUAGCAAAACAAGUCUGGAGAUUGCUCAAGAAUGAAAGCUCCCUACUUUUCAAGAUUUGGAAAGCCAAAUACUUCCCUAAGUGCUCACUGCUAGAGGCCACGGUGGGUCACCAACCCAGCUUUGCAUGGAGAAGUGUGUGGAACUCGAUAGAAGUGGUAAAGAGUGGCAUGGGAUGGAGAGUAGGGGAUGCAGAAACAUUAAGGUAUGGGAAGACAAAUGGCUGCCAGGAGAAGGAAAUGGAAUGAUAAUCACUCCAUUGGACACGCGUGCACAGGUUGUUGCAGAUUUGAUACUGCCAGAAACUAACAGAUGGAAUGUGCACCUAAUCAAUCGGAUUUUUGAUCCGACAGAGGCAAAUGCAAUAAGAGCUAUCCCAUUAAGUUGGAGACAUACUAAGGAUUAUAUUUACUGGGCGUGGAGUAGAGAUGGGUAUUUUUCUGUACGCUCAGCUUACUAUCAUCUCCAACAAGAUAGACUAAACAAUGAACCAAGUAGCUCAACACAAAGCUUCCCUUGGAAAAAAGUAUGGUCCAUGCCAACGCCACAGAAAACAAAGCAUUUCAUGUACAGGGCAGUUCACAACGUACUACCUUGCAGAGAAAAUCUAAUGAAACGAGGCAUACAAGUCCAAGAAGAAUGUACUUUAUGUGGGGAGCAAACUGCAGAAAAUUUGAAACACCUUUUCCUCAGCUGCUCCUGGUCUCGUGUGGCUUGGUUUUCACAUCCAAUGGGGUUACGUUCGGAUGCAAUGGAAGUAGACUUUGCUGGCUGGAUUUUGUCCUGCUUCUCAAACUAUAAACCAGAAGAUUUGGCAAGUCUGACCCAAGGUUUAUGGACGAUCUGGAAAGCGCGAAAUGACAAGCUCUUUAAUGGGAAAUCACAAGAUUCUGCAGUUGCCAUCCAAAAUACACUGAAAUAUUGGACAGAAUGGCUGGAAGCACAUGACACACCGCACCAAGGAGAGGAGCAGAAUGUAGCCAAAGUGUGGACACCUCCAUCGAUGAACCACCUGAAGAUCAAUAUAGAUGCAGGAUGGACGGGUGCUAUGAGCACAGGAUUUGGUCUUGUGGCACGCGAUCACAACUCCAACAUGAUGGUAGUUGCAUCUCAUAUGGAAAAUACUAGAUAUGGUCCAACAGUGGCAGAAGCUCUAGGCCUGCGAUGGAGCCUAUUUACAAUCAGAGACAUGGACAUGGAGGAUGUAAUAAUAGAGACAGACUCGCUCUUGGUCUACAAAGCAAUGACAACAGAUCGAUGCAAGCCAGCUAUAGAGCCCAUCAUCCAAGAUUGCAAGCAGCUGAGUAAUAUGUUUCCUGGCAUUUCCUUUUCUCAUGUAAACAAAAAGGCUAAUAACGCAGCCCAUAUUUUAGUUUCCUUGGCAAAUGAGUUCCCUUCCAAUGUGUGGUGGGAAAAUCCUCCUAGAGCAGUUGCAGAAGCUAUUUUUGUAGAUGCCUUUUCCACUCAUUAAUGAAAUCUACGUACCGAACUUCAGAAAAAAAAAAACAUAGUAAAUAGACCACAAGGGCAAUUCAAAUCAUGACAACGGUUGCCAAACCAAGUGGUUCGAGGUGGUGGUGUUGGCCGUAGGGGCAGAGAUGAUUUUUUCUAGGGUUUCUAGGUUCUAUUCUCUUGUAUGAUUUUUUUUGGAUGACUAAAAUUAAUUUUUUUCCCCUAAUUGUGGAGAUGCUUUUUAAAAAUUAUGUUGAUGAGGGAUGAAAUUAAAUUUUGGUUCAAAAUUUAGGGACUAAAAAACAUAUUUAAUCCUUUAAUAAAAUGAAUGUAUUAUGAAAUUAAACAUAAAAAGAAUAAUGAAAUGAGUUGGAAUACAUGAAGACACAUGUUAUAAUAUUAUUGGAACACUUCAUCAAGGGUGAUUUAACCCAAUUUUUAUCUUGGGUCAUUUAGACAACCCCAUUUAAACAAUUAAGAGUUUAAUAUUAUAAAUCUGAACUAGAGAUACCUGGGCCCUUUGGAGGUGGAUCUACGCAAGCAGUUGUUUCAGGUGGGACUCAAGCACAACCUCCACCGGCAGUUGUUCAGCAACGAAAUUGCAGGAGAAGGUGGAAGAAGAUUCUAGGAGAGAAAGAGAAAGGGGUAUUGUUGUAAAUGCAACUUUAAAUUGAAUUCAAUCUGCAUCAUUCAUUUUUUAAGAAUAUAUCCAAUGGUUGUUAUUUAACUGAACCAUGGUGAAUCACUUUUAAAGUGACACACGGAAGACGAAACCCAUCUUGAGAGUUGAAUAGUACAUUAGUACUAAAAUUUAUCAUGUUUAAUUAUAGAGAAGUUAAUGCAUUUGCAGAUAACUUAGCAAAAUAGGGUUGUUUAAUAGAAGCAAUAUUUUGUGGGCUGUGAUUGAUACUGUAUAAUCUGUUAUUUUCUGUAUAUUACUCCUACUUGAGAAGGAUAUAUUCCAUUUCAAAAAAAAAGGAUAUUGUUGGCCCAAAAUAUAUGGCCCAAAGCCACAUGGGCCUGUCGAAGAGUGAGUCCAGGAAAAUCAGAAAAAGUGUUAAGUUAAAUUGAUGGCACAAUUCGACGAAGGUGACGUUGGAGGCAGUUGCUAUUUAAACGGGCAAAAGUGACUCGUGCAUUUAACCUGCGAGCAGGCCAUAACAGAAUCAGUUAGGGAAGCGUGCGCUUCUCCCCACGAUGGCCAUUCCACGUGGCAAGCAAGCGGUUAGGACGCCGAAACCAGACCCACUAACUCACCCAGCAAAAGGAAAAACCGCUAAGGACAUGCGAGAUAUUGGAGUACUAUAAAUAGGAGAAGAUCAUUCANNNNNNNNNNNNNNNNNNNNNNNNNNNNNNNNNNNNNNNNNNNNNNNNNNNNNNNNNNNNNNNNNNNNNNNNNNNNNNNNNNNNNNNNNNNNNNNNNNNNNNNNNNNNNNNNNNNNNNNNNNNNNNNNNNNNNNNNNNNNNNNNNNNNNNNNNNNNNNNNNNNNNNNNNNNNNNNNNNNNNNNNNNNNNNNNNNNNNNNNNNNNNNNNNNNNNNNNNNNNNNNNNNNNNNNNNNNNNNNNNNNNNNNNNNNNNNNNNNNNNNNNNNNNNNNNNNNNNNNNNNNNNNNNNNNNNNNNNNNNNNNNNNNNNNNNNNNNNNNNNNNNNNNNNNNNNNNNNNNNNNNNNNNNNNNNNNNNNNNNNNNNNNNNNNNNNNNNNNNNNNNNNNNNNNNNNNNNNNNNNNNNNNNNNNNNNNNNNNNNNNNNNNNNNNNNNNNNNNNNNNNNNNNNNNNNNNNNNNNNNNNNNNNNNNNNNNNNNNNNNNNNNNNNNNNNNNNNNNNNNNNNNNNNNNNNNNNNNNNNNNNNNNNNNNNNNNNNNNNNNNNNNNNNNNNNNNNNNNNNNNNNNNNNNNNNNNNNNNNNNNNNNNNNNNNNNNNNNNNNNNNNNNNNNNNNNNNNNNNNNNNNNNNNNNNNNNNNNNNNNNNNNNNNNNNNNNNNNNNNNNNNNNNNNNNNNNNNNNNNNNNNNNNNNNNNNNNNNNNNNNNNNNNNNNNNNNNNNNNNNNNNNNNNNNNNNNNNNNNNNNNNNNNNNNNNNNNNNNNNNNNNNNNNNNNNNNNNNNNNNNNNNNNNNNNNNNNNNNNNNNNNNNNNNNNNNNNNNNNNNNNNNNNNNNNNNNNNNNNNNNNNNNNNNNNNNNNNNNNNNNNNNNNNNNNNNNNNNNNNNNNNNNNNNNNNNNNNNNNNNNNNNNNNNNNNNNNNNNNNNNNNNNNNNNNNNNNNNNNNNNNNNNNNNNNNNNNNNNNNNNNNNNNNNNNNNNNNNNNNNNNNNNNNNNNNNNNNNNNNAUGGUUAAUAUAGUAAGACGAUGAUCUUCGCAUAGGGAGACCGUGUAGCAAGAUAAGAUAUGGUAUGAUGGAACCAAUCAUAGGAUAAGAUUUAUGUAUGAAGUCUUAGAGUGCGUAAAGUCAAUCGGUGAAUUCCAAUUCCAACAAUCGUCUCCUCUUGAUUUCAAACCUCUUUUAUAUCGUUUUGUUAACUUACAUGUUAUUUUAGUUACCGAAACAAUCAAUCAUUGUGAAACCCUCAUUUAAGUUGUUAACUAUUGAACGGCGAAAGUAUUACACCUUCCUGUGUGUUCCGGGUAAGAACAUUGAGAAAGGGUGUAAUCCCUAGAGAGAGAAGUGAUUGCACUUAGGAGAGAGCUCUAGAGAGAGAAUAACUGAAUUUCCUGUGUGUAUUCAUAAAAUGAGCCAGAAGUCCUCUACACUUGAUAACUACCUCCUAUUUAUAGAGCUUGGGUACUACCUAUUGGGCCAAUUGGGCCUCCGAGGUCAAGGCCCAUCUGAAGGCCAGGGCCCCGCCUCAGGGCGGGAUACAUCACAUUAACAAUAACAACAACAAUGAUGAAAAGUUUCUUCCUCUUUAUUCAGAUGAUAUCCGUGGGUUUCCUUAUGAUCUUAACUUUUUUCCUUAUGUUAAUUAGCAAGCCUUUGAAGCGGUUUAUCUACAGGAUUCAAUGCAUGUAUAUUAUUACCAGUGGAAAAGGUGAGUAUCUCUUCUGUUAUAAUUUGAUGCUGCAAUUUUCGAUGAUUACCUUGGAGGUAACUCAAUAUGUAGGCGUGGAAAGGUUGGGGGGUUUUAAUUAGGUUGGGGGUGUCCAACUGGUCAAUUGACUUGGGUAAUUUUGAGCUGUUGGUUAUGCUUUUCUCUGUAACUAGUUUUGCUCUGUUUUACUCCAAUUUUGAUUCAUUAAUCUUUGUAAUUUAGGGUUUGAGUACCCCUAGUACUCUUUAUUAAUAUAUUUUGCUUACCCAACAAAAAAAAGUUGUUCUUAUUGUUGGGUUUCUUAUUUUUAGAUUGGUUGUUGUUGUUCUUGGUGAUGAAUCUAUUUUUAUUUUCUGUGUUUUUGAUGAAUAAUGAUGAAGAUGAAGAUGAAGACGAACAACAUAAACUUGAAUAUGAAGAUGAUUGGGGAUGAAGAUGAUGGGUUAAAAUGAAAUUUUAACUUUUUUUUUGUUUCAGUCCCUCUGCAUAUUCCACGUGUAGUUAAAAUAAUUCAAAACCGGCUAAAUAACUGACAUGUCAGUGGUCAAAAUGGUCAAAGGAGGGAAAACAAACGAUUUACUAAGUAAAGGGACAGGAACCAUCAGAAAUUUAAUUGAGGGACGGAAACCAAAAUUUCGCUAUAGUUCAGGGACGAAAAGAAUAUUUAACCCAAAAAAGAUUUUAAGUUUUCAAAUGAUCCUUCUAAGGUGGUCUAGAACUGGUAUCCUCCUCCAUCUUCUAGGGUCAAGCUUAAUACGGAUGAGAGUUGUUUGUUUUCAUUGAGUAAGGCUGGUACCAGUGGCGUUGUGAGGGACAAUAAUGGUGCUCUGUGUUUUGGCUUCGCCUCAAAGUUGGGUCGCGUAGAUGUUUUCCUUGUUGAAAUUAUUGCUAUAAAGCAAGGACUCAAGUUUUGUUGGCAGCGGGACUUCCGCAAGGUGAUUUGCAAAUCAGAUUACCUGGUUGUGGUGGAUAUUAUGAAAUGAUGUGGUAGAGGCUUGGUUCCAGAGUAUAAUGUGGAGGUAAUUGUUGUUCUGCAACUCUGACACUUGGAUUGAGAGGUUUCUCCUUAUCAUAUUAAAUGUUGUAAUGUUGUGACGGACAAGCUCGUAAACCUUGCUCAUGCCCAACAACAUGUUCAUCUGUUCUGGGAGGAACCUCCUCCUCUAAAGCUUAAUUAAUCUAAUGUCAUAAUGCUUAUUUGACACUUUUUACCAAUAAUCAGCUCACAUAGGUGAUCCACGUCGAAUUUUAAUAUAUGUUUUAGUCUCUCAAAAACUACUUUGAUCGAAUUUAGUCCUCCACAUUUUUACCCUUUUCUUCCUCUUCAUCACCCUUUCUUCCCACCCACCACCCUUUCUUCUCACCAUUGUUUCCGACGAGCCACUGUGACCACCAAUCCUGCGACCACCAUUAACCACGCACCUGAAAAUUUUCCCUCCCCACCACCAAAAUUUCCCUCCCCUCUCUUAAGUUCUAAUAAAUACUUGAAUUCUCAAUAUAAAUAUAAAGAUGCACACCGGAAAAUGGAUUUGGAAAGACUUAAUUGCACUUUUGAUCCCUGAUUUAUCACGGUUGUGUGAAUUGACUCUCACAUAUUUAAAACGAGUGAUUUUGGUCCCUCAAGUUCUAAUUUGUGAAAAUCGGUCCUUCCAUCAACUUGUCAUCCAAUUUGAAACAGAUAAUGAUGGUGUGGAUUUUAUAAUUGCACCGCCAUGGAUGACAUAUCUGUAAAUAAAUAAAAUAAAAAUAAAAUUCAUUAUUUAAAACAUAACACCAAACACUCAUGACCGUCAUAUUCAUCCCCAUCCAUAUCACGCAGAAACUCAUCAUCUUCAUCAUAUCCAUCCUCAUUCUUCCAUUAUCAUCCCCAAAAUUCAAAAACUCAAAUGAGAAGAGCUUAAUUUCAGAAUAUAUUAUAAGGAAAAUUAACUAAUUUAAUCAUUCUUAACAUGUGACACAUAGCUAAUUAAAAGAUAUAUUACACUUAAAUAGUAAAUGAAGGACAAGUGUUGGGUCUCUUAUGUAGAUUUGUUUAAGAUUUACAAUUUACACAAUUUCUAACAGAUAUAUAGAAAAAGAAAACUUUCUCUGGCAUAGAUCUAAUGCUUGAUGCAAAGGAUGAUUUCCAUUGAAAAGGCAUCCGUUUCAAUCUUGAACACUUGCAUCUAUGUCAAUAAAAAUGUAAAUGUUUAACCUUUAUAAAUCGAUAGUUCCUUUUAUUAAGAUUCAAAAGGGGAAACCCAUUUGUACCCUAGAUUAACAGUGAUAAAGAUCAAAAAGAGAAAUCCAUUUUGAUCCCAACCAAAUAGUGAUGAAGAUUCAGGAGAAACUCAUUUUGAUCUAAGACAAACGAUGAUAAAGAUUCAAAAGGAGAAAUCCAAAAGGAAAUAUGAUCCAAAAAGGUCUGAAUAUUAAAAUUAAUUAAAUCUGAAAAAAAUCAAAGAAUAUUCUAAGAUGCUCCAGAAUUUUAUUUUAAUUUAAAUAAAAUCUGAAUUAUUAAAAUAAAACUCUAUUUUUCCUCAAAAUAUCCAAUUAUUAUCUCUUAAUAAAUCUCCAAUUGUGUGUUGCACACACAUUAUAACAUUCAGCCACCAAACCCUUGGGCUUAUUUGAAUCCUCAAGGGAGUAUGUGAUAGUUGACAUGCAUGUUGUGAACCUUAUUCAAAUGUUCAUGAAUGUGGUAAGUAACCCCAAUAACGAGUUGUUGGGACGGUAAUGGAGUCUUGCAAGUGGCACUAAAUCUUUCUCCUCUAAAGCAAAAUAUAACUAAAAUAUAAUUAUGACAUUAUGUAUAUCUUCUAUUCUAUAUCAUAUAACAUAUAGAUUCAUUGGGUUAAUAUUAAUUUCAUUUUUUGUUUCAUAUAUCAAUUGAGUACCAGGUCCUUCACCCCUAGUUGAAGCUUGUGAGGGCUGUUUUGUGAGACACUGCACUAGAUGGGACAUGGGCAGUGGUAGACAUGUUCCUUGGCAAUCUGCGAAGAAGCAGAUUAAGACCCUUCGCAAGUGUUAUCAAAGAGUUGGAAAAUGGCUACUCCAGAGUUAUAUGGGUGGAACACAAGACCUAUUGUGUUGUGCUAGUGUUCGGAGCAUCAUCAACGCAUACUGGACUACACAAACUUGGACAACACCAAGUCUAGCUGAAUCUGAAUCCGAUGAUGUGAAUGUGAUGAUUAGAAAGGGUGGGGAUGGUACUGUUUGUGGUGGUGCCACUUCUUUUUGGAUCUCACGUCCCAAGGUGGCUUUUGAUUACAUUCCUGAUAAAAACGAAGAGAAAUCAGAUAUAAAAAUUUAGUAAUUAGGGAAAUGAAAGAAAUUACACGCAUAGUAUGUGGAGCUGAUACCGAUAUAUAUAUAUAUAUGUGUCUAUUAUACUUCUUUUCAAUGAAGAUUCCAGCGAGAACAGUCUAUUAUAAGAAACUUGGACAAAUUCUAGUGGCUGCUACUUUGUUUAUGCAGAGGUGUUUGGUUCUUCAUUAGAUUAGCGUUAAAGUUUUUCCCAUAUGUUGUGUGUACUCAAUAAAUUUGCAUCAGUAAUAAAGUUGACUUUUCAAGUUACGCGUUGCGCGAACAUAUAUUAAUAUUUUUUGGUAAAAUAAUAGUUUUUUAAAACAUAAAUUAAAUGCUAAGAAUUGUAAAAUUGUAAUUUAAAAUAUUAAUUGUGUCAAUACUGAUAGUAUUUAGUAAUAAUUAAAACUUACUUAGAAAUAGAACUAACAAUAAUUCAUGCAACUAAUUUAACUACUUAUACUAAAUAAAUAUAAAUUAUUUUAAAGAAUCUUAAUUAAUUAAUAAGAAUUUAAAUAAAUAAAAAUAUUUUGUAAUCUUUUCAUAUUAUUAAUUUUACUAAAUAUGUCAAUAAAAAAAUAUACAUUUUAUAAAAUAUUGUGAAUAUUUGUAUAUGAAUAUAGACACACAUAUAUAUUUAUAGUGAGCAUGUAUUAUAUGUUGGUUUUAUAAACAUGCAUUAUAAGUGUGUUAUAUAAACAUGUAUUAUAUGUUUCUUGAAUGAAAAGACCUAGACUCUAUGAGAUAAUCUAGAAGUAUCUAUAUAUAUUUUGAGUUUAUAUUUAUAAAUAUGAUAAAUAUAUCAAAAAAUAAUUUACAUAUUAAUAAUAUAUUUUAAAGAACAAUUAUCAAUAAAUAAAAUUGUGAUCAAAUAAUUUUAAUGUUCAAUAUUUUAUUUUUGUUUAAUUUUGUAUUUAGUUGUUAUUAUUAUUUUACUAAUUUGAAAAGGACUAAAUAUGGAAAUUUAAUAUAAGGUUUUAUAUUUAAAUGAUAUUAUUUAAUAUUAUGAGUAUUUUUAUCAAACUAUAAAUAGGUGUUAUUAUACUGUCAUGAAGUGCGCAAUAUAUUAAAAGUUAAUUAUUUUUUCUACCAAUGAAGCACUUUCAUUUCUAGUAUUGGAUUUUUUUCUAGUUCAAAUUGGCAUAUUAAUGACGGUUGUGUCGUCGGUAACUUAACGACGGUUGAGGUCGUAAGUAACUUACCAACGGCUAUGACCAUAGCUAAGUUACCUAUGACUUUUGAAAAUCGUUGGCAAAUAUUACUGAGGAGCUUAAUAACGAUAGAUAUUUGAUCGUCAGUUAUUUUAUUUACUAACGACUUUUAAGGCUUACUGACGAUUUUUGUCUGUCAAUAAUUUUCAUUUUUCUUGCAAUGAAUGUCAUAUCUUCAACUUAUAGUUUAAAUAAUUAAGGUGACUUCAAAGAUGUGCAAAUGUAUUUUAAAGUGGGGUUAGAUGAAAUGUUAACUAUUCAUUUGGUCUAUCUUAAACUUUUUUCUUAUUUGAGUCUCAUGUAUUGAAUGUUGAUGGAGUUAAAAAUGUUAUAUAAAAUAAUCAUUUGGAAGUUGAAAAAUAAAUAGGAGAGAGUGCUCCAUGUUGGGCCGAGAGAGGAUAAACCAGAGGAUCAUCACUUUGGGCUUACAUGAGCACACCAAAAUGGAUUGGACACCACAUCUUUCACCCAAAACCUUAAGGCAUUAGGUGUGUGGGUCUUCUCACUUAUAAAUUGCUCAUUACUCUUCUUACUCACACUUGACAAAUACUUGCACCGUUGUUGGCCACCUAGCCACCAUUGCUAGGAAAACUUUCGACAUAAGGAGCCUUCACGAUGAUCGCACUAACCAUCGACUCUGAUACCACUGUUGGGCAAAGAGAGGAUAAACCGGGGGAUCAUCACAUUGGGCUUACAUGAGCACAUCAAAGUGGAUUGGACACCACAUCUUUCACCCAAAACCUUAAGGCAUUAGGCGUGUGGGUCUUUUCACUUAUAAAGUGCUCAUUACUAUUCUAAUAUUCCAAUGUAUGACUUCUUACUCACACUUGCCAUCCCAACACUCCAAAAUCUGAAUUUAAAUUACUAUAAAUUUAGUGUUUUUUGGUGUUGAAGCUUCCAAUUUUACCAAGCACCCCUUCAGUUUCAUUCACACCUCACGUGUGUCUUGUAUAUUAUCCUCAUUCCUCACAGCUAGCUCUUCACUACUUCAAAAAUUUGUUAUUUUUACAUACUAUUUCAUUCUUUGCUCGGACAAGUAAGUAUCUACUACUCAGUAGUUGUUAGCAUCUCUAGAGUAAAUUAAAAGUAGUCUAUUCAUAUUGUAGAUGCAUGAGACCUUAUAAAUAUCUAUUUUCACUUUUUCAGUACUUCAUAUUUCAACGAGACUGAAAAUGAUAUCAAUACCACCUGAAAUGUCUACUAUUUUUCAAAUUGACCAUUUAAAUGAAUGACUUUUUGUACUUAGCAUCUGCAUAAAUUUCCAAAAAAAUAAUCCUUGGCUAUUCAUUUCUUUCCUAAAAUGAUAAACACAUCAGGAUGGUUCAAUUUAGGCCUAAAAUUAUUUAUUGGGCCAGCCUGAUUUCUGUCCAGAAGCAGUGACUCAAUGGCCCAACUUCAACUUGAAGGAGUGAAUGGGAUGGCCUGAUUCCAGCCCAAAAUCAAUGAUUGAGCUUGCUAUAUUUAAGCCUGAACCCAAGUAGCACCCAGUUUUUUUUUUUUGAAAGUGAAAGUAGCACCUAGUUUGAUUCUUCAUAGCUAUGAAUUUUUUUUUUUUAAAAAAAGAAGCUAUGAAUAAUUAGUUUGAGAAACAUUCAAUAUACAGUGUAGUAGUGUACUAUUUCCAAGGCUAUGUUCAACAUCCAGUUCAAUGUGUAUCUAUAACUACUAGCGUUUUUAUCCCGUGCGUUGCAUGGCGAAUAUUGAUCUCAUUAUUUAAGCACGAUUAAUGAAUUAGGCUUAAUAGCUCUUUUGGUCCCUCACUUAUCACAAUUUUUCACUUUUGGUCCCUUUAGGAAAAAAUUAGCAAAAUUAGUCCCUUAUAUUUACACACUUUUGCAGUUUUCGUCUAAAUAAGGAUCAUUUUUGCAAACAAAUAAGCAAUGUGGAGGACCAAAAGUGCUAAUUUUUUUAUUGGGAACCAAAAGUGCAAAGCUGUGAUAAGUGAGGGACCAAAAAAGCUAUUAAGCCUUGAAUUAAGAUAUGAAAAAUUGAAAAAUGAGCAUUCAACCAAACAAAAUCACAAUGAGUAUUACACAACUUGCAAAAUUUGACAAAAACUUUAUAUACAUUUAAUCCUAAAUAUUUUUAAAAUUAUAAAAAAUAUACUUAAAUUAGAUUAAAAAUUGUUCCCAAGAGUUAGCAAUAGUGGUAAAAGCUAGGAGCCAUAAGGGAAGGAUGGAAAUGAAGAGUUAGCAAAAAUUAUUAGUUUUAACAUGAACUAUUUCUUGUGUAGAAUGUUUUUCCCCGUCAAACUUUUUUACCAUGUAAUCUAAUCAUAAGUAUAUAAUACUCAUUUAAGAAAAAUGUUUUAGAAUUUGACUGAAAAUUUGGCCUCAAUUACUAUUAUUUAGUACUCAUUUUAAAUUUCAAACUCAAAUCUCAAUUUUUUUUUUUUACAAUUUUUAAAAAAGAAAAUUCAUUAACUUAAAUUGAAUAUUAACUCAUUAAUCAAUGAGAUCAUUCUAUAAAUUAUAUUUAUUUCUUAAAAAAUUAAAAGAAACCUAAUUAAUUAUUAUGAAUGAAUUUACAAAUGAUUUAGGGUGGAAAGAAAAGCGUAUUCUGUGUCUGAGCAAAAUAAUUUAAAAUCCGAGUGAAAAAUUGGAUCAAAUUACUUUUAUUUAGUACCCAUUUUAAAUUUCAAACUCAAAUCGCAAAAUUAUUUUUUACAAUUUUAAAAAUAAUAAAUUAAUUAAAUAAAAUUAAAUAUUCACUCAUUAAUCUAUGAGAUCAUUCCAUUAUUUACCUUUUUUCUAAAAAAGGUAAAAGAAACCCCAAUAAUUAUUAUGAAAGGAAAAAUCAAAAUCUACUCAUUAAAACGGAACUGACUCUUUUUUUCAUCAUUCCACUCUGAAAUUUCAUGUUGCCCAAUUAGAAUGUUUUUUUUUCUAAAUUGAUUAUUCAUUUCCUUUUUACUUAAAAAACGGAUUUGCCUUAUUUAUACUCAUAACUAACUAAAUCUGAUUUUGCUUAAGAAAGUUGAUUAUGUACUGCACUCAUUAAAUUCAAUAUUUAUUUUCUUUUUUCAUUAAAACUAAAGGAUUAAGCGUUUACAUUUUUUUUAAUAUCACACCAUAAAUUUUGACGCAAGUACUAUUAUUCACAACCAAUUUUCAAUUUCAAAUUUAAAACUCAAAUUUCAAUAUUAAAUUGAAUAUCCACACCAUAAUCUAUGGAAUUAUUCUAAAUUUUAUAUUUAUUACAUAAAAAAGUUAAAGUAACUCCAUUAAUUAUUAUUAAAGGAGAAAUCAAAUUUAUUCACUAAAACAGAAUUGACAUUUUUUUAUUUAUUUUACCUUGAAAUUAAAUGUAUCCUAAUCAAAAUAAUUUUUUUAAAAUUGAUUAUUCAUUUCCUUUUCAUUAAAUAAACAGAUUUUUCUUAUUUAUAUUGAUCACAAACUAAAUCUGAUUUUGUAUAAGAAAGUUAAUAUCUACCCAUUAUAUUUAUUAUUGAUUUGCUUAUUUUGUUAAAAAAAAGUAUCAAGUGUUUUAAAAUCUGACUGAAAAUUAGGCUCCAGUUACUAUUAUUUAGUACUCAAUUAAAAUUUCAAACUCAAAUCUCAAUUUUUGUUUACAUUUUAUAAAAAAAGAACUCCAUUAACUUAAAUAUAAUAUUAUGACCUAAAAAAUUCUACAUGACCUAAAAAAUAUAAUAUUCACACCAUAAUCUAAACGCAAAACAGUAAAUAACUCAAAGUGCACAAAUAAAUAAAUAAAUUACAACAUAAAACGACAAUCUUUGCUAAGUUGGAAGAAGAUGCAUUAGCCUUUAAUCUAGAAGUAGUUGUCAUGAACGGAUCUGAACUAUCCUGAAAUAAGAGUAAAAAUUGAAAUUCACAAUACAUAACUAUCUAUAGUGAUAGCAUGUGCAUAUAUAAUAGUAUUUAAUUUUAUUUUAACUUACAUCACUUAAUACUAAUUAUGUAAGCCGCAACUGUUCAACACUGUCAUCAUCAACCAAAAUCUGUGAACACCAAAAGAAAAAGAGUAUAACCAAAUUGUAACAUGCUAAACAUUAAAUCAAGCAGCAAGGUCAGUAGAUGAAGAUUCAUGCCUAAAAUAUAAAGAUGUAUAUGUUUUCCUGAGUUAUAUGUUUCAAUAUGUUUUGCUCAAAAUAAAUGUGAAUCAAAAAAUUCAUAAGGCUUACCUCUCAUUCCUCGUAUCUCUUCUUUGGUUUUUAAUUGUAGAACAAAACUCAACCAAGCCACUCUGGAAAAACAAACAAAAAAAUUCAGCAAAAUCUAACAGAAAGUAGGAAGAGGGCAAAAACCUCACAUGUUGUAUUCACUCUUGAAGAAUCUUCCAUAUAAGCUCACCAUCCCCAAUUCCAAUUCGCAAUAAAAGUCCCAUGGUGAUGAGGCCUAUGAAAUUACAGAAGGAAAAGUAAAAAAGCAUCACUCCAAUCAAAAUCAUUUCAAUAAAUCACACACGUUGCAGAUCAUUUCAUAAUGUUCAUAGAAAUGUAACUAUACCCUUAUGAUAUGGCAAGAAACUGGUUGAAUCAGAAGCAAUACCUGAACUUUUUUUUGCUUUUUCAACAUUUGCUUCUCAAUUUCCCAGUCAUCACAACAAUAGUUAUUUCAAAGCUCUUAGAUGAUGGUUAAAUAAUGGAAUGAUAGAGGAGAAGAAUUACAUAAGAGAGUUUAUAUAGAUGAAAACAAUUAGGGUUUAUGUUGUUUGCAUGUGAAAAAAGGAAGGAGAAUAUUGUUCAAAAAAGAAUAUUCAAAAUUUGAAUUUAUAGGUUGUCAAAAUUUUAAAAUUUGAAUCUUGAUUUCAAAAACGUACUUUUUGAAAGGUUAGCAAAAUCAGUUUUAAUCACAUAAAAAAAAAGCAAAAUACGUAUAACAAAAGUGAGAAAGUUUUCGUUUUUAAGCCUUAUGUAUGAAUAAGAAUAUUAAACAUCUAUUAAUGUGAUUUUGAAUGAUUAUUCCAUAGGUAGUCAAUGAUGGGUGAUGACUUUUGUGACAGCAUUAAUGGAGAGUUUAAAAAAAAUUAAACAACAAUUAAUAAUAUUUUGAAUGACUAUUCCAUAAGUAGUUAAUGAUGGGUGAUGACUUUUGAUUCAGCAUGGACAGUUAAAAAAAAUUAAUCAACAAUUAAUGAGAUUUUUUAUGAUUAUUCAAUAGAUUGUCAAUGAUGGGCCACAAAACCAAAAUUAAGGAGAAAUUGUCUCACCAUAAAUUUGUUAGAAUGACUUAGAGCUUGACACUUGUCAGCUAAUGAGGGAGGGUGGAUAAGAGUGAACCUGGGAGUGCCAACUCAUCUAAGUGGGUCUCACAGAGUUCUUCUUUUCUAUAGUAUAUAGACUACAAAGGGAUAACAUUUUUGCCACUAUUCACAUUAGGGUUUUUCAUAAAUGUUGCUUAGGUGCACCAUAAGGAACUUUUUUUUGUUACUUUUUGGUUUUUUAUUUGGUUUAAAUUGAAGUUUUAAAAUUAUUAGGUUAUGCUUCAAAAGGUAUUUUUUGUUUGUAUUUACUUUGGUUGAGUUUGAUGGAAAUAAUUUCAUAUUUUUUAUUUUUAGCUCUAUGUAAUAAUUCUUUUAAUAGAUGAUAUUUGUUAAUAUUUAUUAUGUGGAUAUUAAUAUUGAUAGUAUAGAGUAUUAAAAAAAAUAUAUUGAUAGUAUAGAUAAUUGUAGGCCUAAAUAAUAGAAAUAAAAAAUUAGGAAAUUAAGUAUUGAGAUUAUUAUUAAUUUGAUAAUAUGAUACAAAUGAAUAAUUAGGGAAAAACUUAAAUCAAGCUCCUUAUCUCCAUAUUUUUAAAGACUCCAUGGUAAAAUUGACAAAUGAACAUUAUUUGUAAAAAUAAGAGAUAUUUAUUAAGACUUAAUUAUAAAAUCUAUAACUACUACAAAGGAGAGUCAAUAUGUAACUAUUUCUGUUCAAAAAAAAUGUAACUAUUCAUUCCUGUUCAUGGUGUUUUUUUUUUUUAUCUUUUGGUAUUUUAAAAAUAUAUAUAGUUUACUUUUCCCGGUUUUUUUGUGGAAGGACUAUAUGAUAUAUCAGUUUGUAGCUAAUUAAGGUUACUUUUGAUGUUACUUUUUUCACUCGAAAGUUGUCGGACAAACUUUUGAUGUUACUUUAUUCACUCGAAAGUUCUCGGACAAAUUUGCAAUACAAAUGACUUUGUGGGGCACUUUUGAUAUUACUUUUUUCACUCAAAAGAUGUCGGACUCAUUUGCAAUAGAAAUUACUUUGUGGGGAACUUUUUAUAGGAAAAAUUUGUGCGAAUGUGAUGUUUGUGAUUUUGCCCCCAUUGUAUGGCUAUAUAAGUGUCUAAUUCUUGGUUUUGUGAGGCAAAUAUCGUUGGUUCUAUUUUGCUUGCUGUUACUUUACUCUGGUAUUUCAUAAUUGGAAUUCUCUGUGUUAUCUGGGAGGAUUAUUCUAAUGGCUUCAUUUGCUGAUUCACCUGUGGAUUGCUGAUUCUUUUAUUAGAGAAAAUAAGCUUGUGUCCAUGAAGCUGAUUCUGCUUGACCAACAUGUACGGUUAAACUGCACGGUUUGUUCUCUUUUUCUCUAUUUUCCAGUUAUGCAGUUAAUGUUUUUUUAAUUUGGUGUGUUAUUUUGAAUUUCUGGGGUAACUCUCUUUUGUUGGUGUAUGGAGAGGUGAUCAUGCAUACGUGUGAUCAAUUUGUGUGAUCAAUUCAAUUGACUAACAUGUUUUGAUUUUUUUUUCCUUUGUAGUUGAAUUGAAGAAGCAAAGUUCAUGCUCAGUUCAGUUGACUAACAAACUUACCACUAUGUUGCUUUUAAGGUUCGAACAAUGCCCCUUUCUUCGUUUCAGGCAUGAAAUAAUGGAGAGAUUUAUCGUUUUGGUGUGAAAUUUGCAGGUCAAGACCACAUCGCUGAAGAAAUAUAUCAGGUUGAGGUUUGUCUGCAGCAGAGUUUUUUCUUCCCCCUCUGUGGUGCCGUGCUUUUUUGAGCAAGGAUUGGUGAUAUUCUUGUACUGCUCUCGGGUUUUACUAUUUUACUUGAAGACCUGUUUCUGGUUGCUUCUCGUUGAUUUGAGUGGCAAGUUUGGUUUGAAUUGGUCGCACAUGUUGUGCGUAGGUUGUUGGGGGUGGGAAUGCAAAUCAGUUUGUGUGUUAUUUGGAGAGAUAAGGAUUGACUGAGUAUUUAAAUUUGGGGAGUUGAAUUGAGGCGCAAGAUUAGGAGCAAGGGGUGGGUUAUUUGCUGACACAAUAUUUUGUGGAAGAGAGUGGGGAAGUGAGGUUGAAUUUGAAUUAGAAGAUGAGGCAGAUAAAGAAGAGUAAGGAAAAAUAUUCUUAACAAACCUUACAUGCUUUGAUGUAUACAGUUUUUCCUUAUAUUCUUGAGUUUGUUCUUUUCAGAUUUUUUUCCUCUUUAGCCUUUGGCUUUCUUUUGUAUUUUGGUUGAGGUACCCAUAGUCCCAUAGUACCUCCUUCAAUAUAUUAUCUUUGGCUAAAAAAAAGGACUUAUAUUGUUUUAUCUUUUUUAUGGGGUGAAAAAAUACAAGCAAUUGUGAGAAAAUUGAUGUUUAGGAAGUAGAGUGAGCAGUAUGUGGAAGGCAAUGUGAGAAAACUGAUAUAUAGUUAAGAUUUUAUUUAGUUUUUUUUUAAAUGACAUUUGUUAGAUUUUGAUUUUGCUUUUGGAUGUUUUUUCAUACGGGAUGUGAUAAAAUUUCAUAGAAUAAAGUACAAUCUUAAAAAAAAAUUCAUAAUAUAAAUCAUAGACUUAUUGCUAAAUAAUUAUAAUUAGAAUAAACCAAAUCUUAUUUUUGUAUGUGCAGAUUUUUUUUUCCACAAAGUGUAUGUGCGAAAUAAGAUAAAACCAAAUCGUUAAAUUUUUAAAAAUUAAUUAAUUCUUCGCAGUUGUUAAAUUUUAAGAUUAUUUACUUUUAUAAAUUUAGAGGCUGCCAAAUUUAAUUGAUUAUUAGAUUGAGAUAUCAUACGUAAUUUAUAUGGAAAUGCUCUUAUUCAUUGUGUAUUUGAGAUAAAUUAUUUUUCAUUGUGCAUGUGUGAAAUAUGUUAUUCAAAAGAUUUAUAAGAUGAGUCCUAAUUAUUGUUAUAUUUGCGAAAAAAGUAUAAUUGUUUUUUACACCGAUAAUGGAUAUCCAGUGACCUGUUUUGUGUUAGUGAGUUGUUAGAUUUUAAUCACAUUCUAAAUUGUUUUACAUCGAUAGUGAAUUUUUUUCUUUGAUGUAUGAGAGUUUGUUUUCAGUGAAAAUUUAUCAUUGUCAAAAUAACAAGGUUGAAAAAUAGAUUAAAAUUCGUUCUUGUUUAUUUAGACGGAUAGGUUUUAAUAUUUUGUCAUUUUAUUUGAUUUACUCUUUUUUGUAUGACAUCAUAAUUAAAUCAAAUUAUAUAUUAAAAAUAGGAAAAUAAAAAAUGAUCAAAUAUGAUUGAAUCUUAUUAUAUUCGAUAGAAUGGAUAUGUUAUUUAUUUUUGAGUUUAAUGGAUAUGCACAGUUACAUUGACAACCAUUACACCAUGCCACAUAGGUGGAAUAAUAAAUUUCACCUUAAAUUUUACUUAAAACCGUAAUAUACUUGCUGAUGUGAUAGAAUUCAAUUGAGUGAUUGUGUAAAUAAAAUUUAUACUAACGGUGCAUACGCAUUAAAUUCUUAAUUUUUAGUACGAAACAAAAUCAAAAUAUGUGCACUGAUAUACUUAUAUUUUAUUUUUAACUUAUCAUGUUAUAAUAUUAUAUUUAUAAAAAAAAUUCAGCAACCGUGCAUCGCACGGGAUACUACCUAGUAUAUUACAUAGGAAAAUUACUAAAUUCUGUGUUGCUUGCAUUUGUAAAUUUAUGGCUAUCUGUUUUCUCAUAAGGUGGUGGUAUGAUUUAGGCUGUAAAAAACUGGGUAUGAAAGGUAAUUUUAUUAGGUACUAGUUACUACUGUGAGUCACACUUUAUGCUGUAUCCGCCAUUCUGCAAUAAGUAAUGGCCACAUUUAAAUCCAUAUUAUAUAGGCUAGAGGUAAAGAAGCAUUUCAAGUUAAAAGGUGACGGUUCUCUUGGCUUAAUAAAUUGGUAACUAUAUAAACACAAUAUCCCUCAGUAACAUGUGAGAGAAUGAAAAAUUCCCUCCAGUGUCUAAUAGGGUCUGUGAACUGAAAGUCUGAAACCAGCUUAAUAUACUAUCUUACAAUACAAGAAUAAAGAUACAUUUAAAUAUGUAAAAUUAGUUUCCAUGAAUCCACACUUGACCUUGAAGCUUUUGCAAAAUAGCAGUCCAUAUCAAAAGCAGGUGAUGGUGCAACUGAUGUGUGAAACCAUUAAGCAGCACAGCCUCCACAAACAAUACCUCUGUUAGUCAGUAAAGAAACCAAGUUAACAUAGAGUCCAAUGUUGGUGUAUGAUAAAAUUUCAGCACAAAUAAUCAUAAUUCUCAUUUGCAAAGAAAAAAUGUAUGCUUCAGCUAUUAAAUCACAGGGUGGUUUGAACUGAUGUAGGGGUUAAGAAAAUUAACACAUUGCAACCUGAGUCUCAAUUUCAACUCAGACAUGAAAUUUUCAGAUGAAAUGGUCCUAAUCAGAUUCAGAUUUUCUGCAGUCAUGAGGACAAUCCUAAAUUUACACAUUCAAGUAAUUUUGGCCGUUCCAUCAAGAUUGGACGACUCAUAGGUUUCAUUAAAAUCGGAUAAGCUUAGAUAAACUUGAAAUCUCGUAUGAUUUCGAAUGAAUGACUAAAAUUUCUUGGCUGUGUGAGUUUAGGAUUUCCUUGACUACAAUGAAUCCAAAUUCGUCUUAAUCUCCAUUCAAAGAUGUUUCAGCAUCAUGACAAAUGUACAGAGUUUUUGUUUUUCCAUAAUAACUAUAUCUACUAAGUCCAAUCAUCAUAUACCUAGGCAUAAGCUGCAAUAUUCACAUUGCCUAGCAAUUCAAUCUCCUUAUUCAUUAGGGAAGUCUCCAAGAAAAGUAUACAUACACUAUUCUAUCAUCAAAUCCUUAACUUGAACUAUGAAUAGAUAUGAAAACAUCAUCCAUCAAAUGCUAAGAUAAAUCAUUAGAAUGAUUGAAACUCAAUAGAAGUAAGAGGUACUUACACAAAUGAGCAGCCAGACCUUCUAUGCCUUUUCUUACUAGCCAUUUCUUUCCUCCUUGGAGGUUGAAGGACAACCUUAAUUGCAGUAUCAAAAACUGCUUUGACAUUCUAAAAAUGAAAAUAUAUCUUCAUCAUAAGAUUCUCUACAGAUAAACCAAAGUACAUUACAUCAUACAAGAGCUGACCUCUAUGGAUUCAAAAUGAAAUUUAAACCCACUACCUGUUGAGUCUUCGAGCUGCACUCAAUGUAAGCUGCUGCACCUAUUUGUUUCCUUAGUUCUUCCCCCUGUAAGUAAUGUGCUAAGAUUAGUGAAUGAGAAGUUUUCUAUACUUAAUACAUAAAGGGCUUCAUUAAUACAUAUUACAGAAAAGCUAAUCUAAAGUAUUCAUACCUCAGCAGAUGUUAUAACAUUAGAUCCCAUGUGAUCAGCAAAAUAUCCCCGAUCUUCACGAAGAUCUAGAAUCAACAAUUCAAUGCAUUGUGUCAUUCACUUAUUUCCUCAGUUAGAAAACCAGCAUAGAAAAUAGUGUACAAAAUUUCAUAGGUGCAGCUGCUUACCUAACUUCGUACCAACAAGAACAAUUGGAACAUUAGGUGCAAAUCUACGCAAUUCUGGCAUCCACUGAAAAAGAAUAUAAAGAAAAAAGAUGAGUAACUGCACUAUAUGUUAAAUAAACAACAUUAAGUGGACAUGAAUGCUAUGUUGAAGAUGGUUCAUCAUUGCUUACGCCAAACACAAUGAAAACAUGCACAUAUUCCCUGUAUGCAGAACAAAAAAGUUACAGACUUAAGCUUAGUUUGCAUUUGAAGUGAAAAUGAAAACAAUAAAAUAAGUACGAUUCUGUUUCCUUCCUUCAUGUUUGGAUGAAAAGAAAGAAAAAAAUGAUGUAAGUGAUUUUCUUUAUAGUAAUGAGAGAGAAUUUUAUGUUAUAAACACAUAAACACCCUCGUUAUGACCUUUUUUUUAAAUCAACUUGAUAGUAACCCAGAAAGUGAAGACAAAGAUUGACUGGCAGAACUGAAAAAGAGGAAUUGUGUUACUGAAAAUUGAACACAUACAUGGAGGAUGAAUUCUCCCCAAUGGGUUCCCUUUCCCAGAGGAUUUCUCCUUUUAAUCACAAACCAACAAUGAUAAUAAUCCUCCUAUUCUGAUUCUAUCUAUUUAUAUAGCUUCACCUUCUGCUACUAACUACUUUAACAACCUCUAAGCCCCUAACUAGUUUCCCCUUCCCUUACAUCCUAACACAAUUAUUAUCAAUAUUAGUUGUUAAAAAUUAUUCACAUAAAUUACUAGUAAAAUAUCAUAGAAAACAAUUUUCUGCUACAUAAAUAAUAGGCUUGGCUUAAUUCCACUUUGGGCCCCUGAUCUUUUAAAAAUGAGUGAUCGGGGCCCCCCGUGUUUAAACGUAGCGGUCAGGCACCCCAACGUCUCAAAAACGUGCGUUCCAAGCCCUUCUGUAAAGUGUCGUUUGUUUGACCAAACGGAGUCAGUGACGUCACUUAACAAAAGGGCUUGGAACGCACGUUUUUGAAACGUUGGGGUGCCUGACCGCUACGUUUAAAGAUCAGGGGCCCAAAGUGGCUCCGUUUGGUCAUCGCUCAUUUUGGUCAAGUCACCGGGGGGGAGGGGGGCGAUCGCUCAUUUUUUAAAGAUCAGGGGCUCAAAGUGGAAUUAAGAAUGAAAAAAAAACGCCACGUCACUGGCUCCGUUUGGUCAAACAAACGGUACUUAACAGAAGGGCUUGGAACGCACGUUUUUUAAACACUGGGGUGCCUGACCGCUACGUUUAAACACGGGGGGCCCCGAUCGCUUAUUUUUGAAAGAUCAGGGGCUCAAAAUGGAAUUAAGCCUAAAUAAUAAUGUUAGUAGAUACGGAAAUGUAAAAUAACAGUUUAGCAAUUAAGUUACAGUGAUACCUUUUCCCAAAAUGAGUUGUUUGAUUUAGUGCAGCUAGUUUUAUAAGCACUGCUUGAAAAUAUUAUAAACAUCAUGACACACCAUCAAUGUUUUUGAACUAUAAUUAUCUGAUACUGUACUCACUCAACAGUUAACAUUAUUUUAAGUUUUAUUUUUGGAUCAGAUUGAACCAGUAUAUUCCCUUCCCCCCUCUCUCUGUUGAAUUUUCUAUCCCUGUCUAUAAGUAGCCAUCAAUAGGCAAAAAUGAAAAGUCAAAGAAGGUGACAAAAAUCAACAAAAGACCAAGAUUAUAUAAAAUUAACCAGUGAUCAUUGAAGCUCUUUUAAAUCAAAUAUUCAUUAUUCAACUUGAUUUCUCUGCUUAGUGAUCCUGUAUUUGAAUAUCGUGCCUGUCAAUUUAUUUGUUGUUGGCUUGAAGCUGUUGUUCUAAACGGUUUAAAAGAGUCACUCUUUAACAUUUUGAAAACUAAAUUUCCUUCUCUCAACAUUAAAACAAAAUGCUUGACAAUAUGUUAAUCAACAAUUUCAAAGCUAUUUGAAACAAGGGCAUAGUUAAACUAUUUUCUUUCAUUUAAGUCUUCUGUAGUACCAUAGAAAAUGUUUUUCACUAUGAACUUUGUUCUAUGUUUUCUAUUAACUAUUUUCCUUUCCUCUCAAUUUACUCAUACAUUCAAAGGAAGUCUUGAAGAAAAAGACACACUUUGAAAACUUUAAUCCAAAAUCCAAAAAUAGAAACAAGAGAGAAAAAGUAAGAUAUGAGGAAGCAGAGAUAGGCAUGAACCUUCUUGAGAACAUUUUCAUAGCUAGCUCUGCUAAUCAAUGAGAAUGCCAACACAAAUAUGUCUGCUCCCCUGUAGCUCAGUGGCCUCAACCUACUAUAGUCUUCCUGGCCUUUAAAACAAUUGGACCAAAAAAGUAUCAAAAUUAGAGAACCAAAACUUAGUACUGGACCAUAAAAACUCAAGUGGGGGGAGCUCCUAGUACCUGCUGUGUCCCAAAGCCCCAAAUUGACAAUGCUUCCAUCCACAGCUACAUUAGCACUAAAGUUAUCAAAUACUGUGGGUAUGUAAUCCUGCAAUCCAAAAAGGAAAAAAGAAAAACAGGAAAAGGAGUGAGCAUACAUCAUCCAUGCAUCAGAAACACAAAACCCAGAACACAGAUAAUGAAGCAUCUCAGCACAUUGCAAUAAAUGUCCCAAUAUAGAAAAAAACCCAAAACUUUAUCUUGUUUAUAUGGUGUCUAUAUGUGUAGGAAAAGCACCAUUCAAAUGAAAAAUCCAAAAAUGGGAAGAAAAUUAAACAAGGAAAAUUAAUGGAUAAAGAAACAUACAGUGGGGAACUUGUUGCUGGUGUAGCAAAUGAGCAUGCAGGUUUUCCCAACAGCUCCAUCCCCAACAGUGACACAUUUAAUGAACUUUGAAGCACUCAUCAUAACUAAGAUUAAGCAGCUACAGACACUAACACCUGUUCUAAAUAUAGAAAGACCUCAAAAGUUGGAUUUUAUAAGCUCAAAGAAAAUGUGAAGAAGAAGGAAAUGGAGAAAGAGGGUCUGGAUUCUGAUCUCUGGGUUGCAUUAAAGGGUGUGAGAUAAAUAGAUAAUAGGACCUUGACCAAUUUUCAAGGAAUAAAAAAAUUGGUGAGAGGGAGAGAGAGACACUGCAAUGCAUGUGGUCAAAUGUUGUUGUUGCUGCACUUUUUCAUCCCACUCAAUAAAUUUCAAAUCCAACAGCAAAUUUUUUGAAUUACACAAAGGGGUCCCUCUCUCAAACGGUACCUAUAUUUGAGGCAUGACCAGCCCCAGCAUCUUCAUUUGUUGGCUUCCAACUAAAGAGUCAUUUUAGUGACUUAUUAUAAGUGAUAAGUCCCCACUAAUUGAUCUGUAGGUGCCACCUAAUAUGCACCACUUUUUAGUGGCCCUGUUAAAAAAAUUAUUUUAUAAAAAGAAAAAAAUAUUGGUAUUACCGGGUGGAUUUUGAUGGGAUUAAUUUUUUGAACAGGAAUAAAACGGACAAUUAACAUAGUGGUGCAAAAUUACACCACUAAAAAGUGGUGCAUAUUAGGUGGACCCUGAUCUGUAAGCUUUAUUGCAAAUAAGACGUUAACAAGUGAAUGGACUUCUUAUAUUAGAAUUAUUACAUUCAAAUGCAGGUGAUAUCUAAACACACAAUAGCAUUGCAGUGUUUUAAUUUGUAUCAAUGUUAGGCUAAUAAUCAUAAAUUGUUUUGUGUGUGUUUGAAUAUCAGUUAACUAAAUAUAAAAGCAUAUUUAUCUCAAUUUAUAAAAAAAGUUUUAUUCAAUUUUUAUCUCAAAAUAAGUUUUAAUAUCGGUUAUUAUUGUUGUUAACGAGUAUUCAAACAUUAAUAUUAAUAGAUAGAGAUAAGAAUAACACAGCGGAUAGCUUAGCACGGGAAGCUUGCCGUCUUGGAUCUCCUCUUCAAGUUUGGAAGCAGUCACCCUCCUUCAUUUAUGUUUCCAUGUACUUAGAUUCUGUUAGUUAGUUUUGUUUUUCUGUUACUUUUCCUCUCGUAACAAAAAAAAAAUUAAUAUUAAUAGUGGUAGGGGUUGUCUAAAUCGACCAAAAUUUCAUAGAGUCAAAAUCAUUCUAGCUUAGCUAGUCCAAUAACAUUUUAACAUGUAUCACAUAAAAUUUUAUUUAAUUAUAUAUGUCAAAAUAAAAUUUAGUCACUAAAAGUUAAAGUGAUUAUAUUUAAUAAUUACUUUGAGUGAUUUAGAAAAACACUAUAGUAUAUCUACUCCCUUCGUUUCAAAAUACUCCCUCCGGUUCUUAUUAUAAGAAACAUUUGACUUUUUAGGUUCAUUAUGUAAUUGAUUUAUCUAGUCUAUAUUUAGUAAAAGAUACAUUAAUUAUUCUAUGAACCAAAAAAGUCAAUUGUUUCUUGUAAUAAGGACCGGAGGGAGUAACUGACACUAUUUUUAGCUGAAUUUUGUUCCUAAUGAUUUGUCACUUUACAAAGUUCAAGAUAUGCAUUAAUUAUACUUUACUAAUUGUACCAUUCAUUUAUUGAUGGUAGGAAAUUUGAAAAGUUAGAAUUAAUAAGAGAGAUAAAAGGUAUAAUAGAAAGUUACAUAUAGUAAUUUUAAUAAAAUAAGCACAUUAAUUAUUAUUUCUUAAUACUUGUGUAACAACCUUAAAUUGUUAGUUUUUUGGAACAUAGAGAGUAAUAAGGAGUAUUAACUCUUGAUAUAGUAAAUGUAAAAAAUGAAAUUAGACUUCUUACUUUUUUUUCUUGGACAUCUCUUUCUUUGACUUAUUGUUACUUGUAGAAGAAGAAUCGCACUUUUUAAGACAUUUGCAUCUAAAGCUACAGAGUAGAAAGGAAGAACAAAACAAACAGUAAUAUAAUGGUUACUAAAAGCUUGACAAUAUACUUGUUUAAAGCUUAAAAUAUUUGUUUCCAUAUUUUAUUAGUUAAUUCAGUCCUUAAUCUUUUUUGCUUUAGAAAAAACAAAGCGAUCACAGAACUGUUGAUUAGCAAAUUAGGAUUGAAAAAUGACGGAUUUUUGUUUCUGUUGAUGAACGUGUAGAACACUGGAAAGGAUGGACCCACAUGUCUACAUAACCCCACCAGAUUUUCAUUUAUGAUGAAAAGCUCACACAUCCCAACAGAACAUUCAAAUGUAUUCAAGUAUUCAACCGUUGAAGCUUUUGUUUUGUUGCUGCACUCUGCUUCUGGAUGUGUCUCAGAAAAGCAACCUAAGUACCUGAUCAAGGUUAGGUGGACUUCUUCAUAUCCUGACUAAAUCACAUGGAUGAAUGUACUUGUAGAUGAUUUGGAUUUUUAUUUUUGGUUGCUUUAUACCAAUUAUUGAAAAAGAAAGAACGAAUGAUUUGAAUUUGAAUGUCUAAAUAUUAGUUGUUACUUGUUAGUAAUGCAUUCCCUCCAUUUAAAAAAAAUGCAUGUUGUUUGAAGUUGUGACACAAAGAGUAAGAUGAUAAUUAUUAAUAUUGCAAUUUUAUCAAAAUACUCUUAUUUAAUAUUACUAUUACGAUGUUCAACUAUUAAAUUCAGUGUAUAGAUUGAAAAGAAUUUGGAAAAAAAAUGAUUUGAUUUUAUGAAACAACACAUUUUGAAAAAAAUGAAAAGAUGAGAAAAAAGUAUAACUUAUAUUAAUAGGAGUUUUUUUUAACAUAUAUUAAUAGGAGUUUAAUUGGGAUACAUCCAAUAAUAUUCAUCCUUUUGGCCACAUCAGAUUAUAUUUUAAAAUAAUUUUAUGUGUAAAGAGGCUUUACAUUGCCAGUGUAUUCUAUUAAACUCUAUUAAUAAUGUGUAAAAUCACCGAUUAAUCAAUGUACUAUCUAUAACCAGCUCGCUUUGCACUCUAACACCAACUCUAACAUUGUCAAACAAAAAUGUUUAUUGUAGCCACAUUUUUCUUUAUGUAUACUUCAAUUUUCAGAGAUGAAAAUAAGGUUAAAAAAAUAUAUUUUGGUCAUUUUAAUGAUUCAAUCUCUAUUUUAAUAUUAUGGCUAUGAUCAAAAUUGACCUAAACACCUAAUGUACCAGUGUCCUUCAUAUAAUUUUGAGAGGCACCGUAGUGUUUACCAUUAUAGGUCAAACUAUAAUUAAUUGUCUCUUUCAAGUAUUUAAAUACUCUAUUAACAGCAUGUCAAUGGUCUCUACUUGGAUUACAUGUAUACCGACUUAACCUACCGACAACAUAUGGUAUAUCAGGUCUAGUACAGGUCAUGGCAUACAUUAAACAUCUGAUUGCCUUUGAAUAUUUAAGUUGUGCUACAGGACAUCCCUUGUGUGGUUGUAAAUUAGUAUUUUGAUCAAAAAGGUUAGAAAUUGAUUUGCAAUCAAAAUAAUCAAAUUUCUUAAGCAUUUUCUCAAUAUAGUGAGAUUGGGAUAAACCAAUACUCCCACCAUCUCUUAUGAUUUUAACUCCUAAAAUCACAUCUGCUUCACCUAGAUCUUUCAUAUCAAAACUAUUGGAUGAGAAAGAUUUAGUCUUUUCUACCUCAUUUAAAUAAGUGCCAAAGGUUAACAUAUCAUAAACUGUAUUGAAAAAGAGUUAUAGAGGAUUGGGAGUGGGUUUGAUGUGCGAUUUGGGAGAAUAAACGGCUUCCACAUCAAAGGCUUUUUAAGGUGUGGAGCUUCGACAUGUAAAGCAUGGGGCGAACACAGUGGCUCAAUUUCUCCCUUCCUGCUUAUCUCCUUCAACGAUUUGUGUUUCCCUCUUCUUUUAACUGGACUCUGUUGUCGAAUGGAGAGAGAAAAAAAUAAUUUUUUAAGCAAGUAACAAGUUAAGGAGCGUUGCUUAUUAGCGUUGCUUAAAUAAGCAACGUUGCUUAGCUUUUAGCUUUAAGCAACUUCAUAUCAACAAGCUCCAAUGGAGCACAAAAAUAAGCAACAUUGCUUAUUUCCUCUAACCAGGUUAAGCAACCUGUGUUGGAGUUGAUCCAAGGCCUUAAGUGGGUUUUAAUUGCCCCAAUUUAAGCUCAAAUAUCCAUGGUGAUGUCUAAUAAAAGAUGGACAUUUUGACAUUAGAGGCGCAAAGAAGGGGCACAAAAGUGCGCAUGCACCUUAUACUAACUUUAGCUUGAGAAUCAAUUCACCUGAAAAGGAUUUUCCCAUCAAUCGAGCGAGGCAUGCAUUCUUUGAACCAGGUAGCAGGAUCUUAACUUAUCACUUCAUAAAAAAAAUUGUUUAAUCCAUAAAAUUCAUAUUAUGGAAAACUCCAUGAAAAUAAAUUAAUAAAGUUGACCCUUAUUUUUCUAAUCUUUUACUAACUUAUAUAUUUAUACAAUCUUGUAAGACACGUUAUUAUAAAGGGUGAUGGCUAUGAUGCCUCUUAAAAUUACCUUUUGGGGUGACAUUACAAUUUUUUACUUUAUUUUGAAUGAAAGUACUUAUAAUAACGAUUGAAAACAGAGUCUACAUAUAAAGCAUGAGCUACAUCAUCUAGGGAUUAUCCCCGUAAUUGUGAAGGAAAAAUAAAUUCCAACAUCCCAAACACCGUAUUAAACAUUAGUGGACUGGGCGGGACAUAAGGAUCCCUUAUUCUCGCCCAAAUCGAGCAUUUAGAUGAACGAAAGCAGCCAUGGCGGGGUUUGCGGAACAACAUCGAAUCCCGCCCUUCCUUUGGACAGGCCCACACGCCAGCUAGAAGAUUCCUUUAGAUUUGUCUUAUAUGUAUAGAGGCUUGGGCCCCGGUUGUCAGGCCCAAGUACAGUACAAGUCCACAUCAUGACCACUCCCUCUAUAAAAGGAGAGGUCAACACCUUGUAAAAAGUACCUUUUGAACAUUUAAUGAGAAUAUUCCUUUUAUGAUAUUUUUAGUACUCUGCUAGGGUUUACUUUCUGUCAGUCUCUUACGUCAGAUCUCCCUAGUACAGAACAUUGACGCCGUCUGUGGGUCUUACCUCGAUCUACUACUUGACGUCAAGGGUGAGCUUUAAGAUCCAUGGAAACCCGUUCGUGCGGUGUGGGCCGCCGCGAUCAUCGCCAGAGGGGUGGUGGUCGUCAGGGCGGCCGCGGCGGCGGACGAUACAACAACCGUGAAGUACCUCAAGAGUAGGAGCAAGAGUCUUCCUCGGAGGGAGUUCACUCAGUGGCGCAGUCACCGACGUCGUUGGUGAAUGCAGCUCCGGCGAGACCUUCAGAUCUGAUAGCUAGAUCAGAUCCCGGAGUCAGGCGACGAUCAGCGCCGCCUGAAUACGUGAAUCUCGAAGACCCCAAAAACAGCGCUCCGAGAAAAGUACCAGAAGUAGUGACGGGAAUAACACCGGCGGCUUUGCAACAAAUGUUGGAUACUUUGCAAAAAGUACAAAGCCAGAAUGAGCAGUUGCAAGCCUAGGUGGAGUAUUUAACCCAGCGGCAAGACUAUAAGCAAGAGCAACGGCUCGAGGCUGACGACGUUGUCGAGUUCCAGCCUUUUGUUCCCGCCAUCACGAGGGUGGGAAUACCAAAGCAUCUGCAAACGAUGACUUUGGACGCCUUUUUAGGCGACUCGGACCCCAUGGAACAUUUGCGUUACUUUAACACAAAAAUGGUUAUUGGAGGAGCAACAGAUGAGGUGAAGUGUAGAUUGUUACCAUCAACUUUCAAGGGCAUGGCGAUGCAAUGGUUCAUCCAACAGCCGCCCUUCUCCAUUGACAAUUUUACUGAUUUGUCCACGAAAUUCUUAACUCAAUUCUCCGCCAAUAAAACUACAAAGGCAACCAUGUUUGACCUUAUCAGCAUACAUCAACAGCCAGGGGAGAAGCUCAAGAACUACAUGGCGCGAUUCAGUAAAAUGGCGGUUCAACUGGAGGAAGACAAUCCGGAUGUUUGCCUGGCGUCUUUCAAAAAUGGCCUCAGGGCGGGGGAUUUGAACCGAGAUUUGACUAGACGACCGGCGAAGGACAUGAUGGAUCUUCGGGCCCGUGUUCAGGAAUUCAUUUUGAUUGAGCAAGAUGAUCAAAAGAAGCAAGAAAGGGAGGAGGGGAGAAAACACGUCCAGGCUGGCGUGGUUUCACAGGACAAGAACAAGACUGGAAAGGAUACACGGGUAGCUCAAACUCUACCUAUUCCAAGACCCGGCCCUUAUCAAAAUUCCAAGCCCGGGUUCCAGAAUACGUGGCAUAGAAAUCCCCAUGGUACCGCUGCAGCCUCGGCGGGCCAACAAGGACCCGCGCCAACUCCUGUCCCACUUACUAAAUUGAAUGCCCCUCUAAGCACUAUCUUAAAGGCAGUUGUACAGACAAAUGCGGUGCAAUAUCUACCGCCUCCUAGGCGACCACCAACCAAUGUGGAUACAAACCGAUGGUGUGAGUAUCACAAAACGUUGGGACACACCACGGAUAAUUGUUGGAACUUGAGACGGGAAAUUGAUAGGUUGAUCAAGGCUGGCCAUCUGGCGAAUUUUGUUAAAGAAGCAGCAACAUCAGAGGCCACUAAGGUCACUCAGGGGGACAGGGGCAAAGGAAAAGAGAUAGUGGAAGAAUUGGGCGACCCUGUUGGAGAAUGUUCAUCCAUUGCAGGAGGCGCGAUUUCAAGCAAGGCUAGAAAGCGGUAUGUGGCGGCUGUUCAUUCGGUGCAUGAGGUGUAUGAGGGCGAGUGCUGGUUGAAUCACUCUCCCAUCAUUUUCACCCCGCAAGAUUUUGCACAUGUUAUUCCUCAUGAAAACGAUCCGAUUAUGGUGACAAUCCGGGUCAACAACUACAUGACAAAAAAAGUGUUUUUGGACCAGGGAUCUUCGGCGGACAUCAUUUAUGGGGACGCCUUUGAUCGCCUGGGGUUGAAGGAGUCGGACUUGAAACCUUAUACUGGAACCCUGGUGGGGUUUACAGGGGAUCGUGUCAAUGUGCGAGGAUAUGUUGAAAUAUCAACGGCUUUUGGUGAGGGAGAUUUUGUCAAAAAAUUUCAGGUGAAGUAUUUGGUAUUGGCAUGUAGGACCAAUUACAAUGUACUCUUGGGGCGGGACACCCUCAACAAGUUAUGUGCCGUAAUUUCAACCACGCAUUUAACUGUUAAGUACCCGGCCUGUAACGGGAAGGUUGGCGUCCUUCGAGUGGAUCAAAGUGCAGCAAGGGAGUGUUACCUUCGCAGUGUGGCUCUCUAUGGGAGAAAGGCCGCCAAGGAAAGCCACCGUAUCACGGAGAUUUUUCCACAUGAAGGGUUUAGUUUGGAUCCAAGAGAUGACGCUGAUGAUUUCCGCCCACAACCUUUGGAGGAAACAAAAUCAGCACAAAUCAAGGAUAAAGUUCUGAAAAUCGGUAGCGGUUUAACAAAGGAACAAGAAAAAAGAUUGAUCACCUUGUUGAGCGAGAAUUUGGAUCUUUUUGCAUGGACAAUCAAUGACGUGCCAGGAAUCGAUCCCAACGUAAUCACUCAUAAGUUGGCGAUACGGGUAGGAGCAAAACCAGUCAUCCAACCAAGGCGACGGAUGAGCGACGGAUGAGCGACGAAAAGAACAAGGCGGUUCAAGUAGAAACCGAGAAGUUGAUCAAGGCACAAUUUAUUCGUGAGGUGCAGUACCCGACCUGGCUCGCCAACGUUGUGAUGGUCAAGAAAGCUAAUGGAAAGUGGAGAAUGUGCACGAACUACACAAGCUUGAACAAAGUGUGUCCCAAAGAUUCAUAUCCUCUUCCCAAUGUUGAUAAGUUGGUAGACGGGGCUUCAGGCAACGAACUUUUAAGUCUCAUGGAUGCAUAUUCUGGCUACAAUCAAAUCAUGAUGCAUCCUUCGGAUGAGGAAAGUACGGCGUUCAUGACUAACCAGGCGAAUUAUUGUUACAAAACCAUUCCUUUUGGUUUGAAAAAUGCUGGAGCCACCUAUCAGCGCCUCAUGGAUAAAAUCUUUUCAAAACAAGUUGGAAGAAAUAUGGAAGUGUAUGUCGAUGACAUGAUUGUUAAGUCGUCCAAGUCGGAGGAUCAUGGCGACGAUCUUAAGGAAGCCUUUGCCCAGCUAAGGAAAUAUCAAAUGAAGCUAAAUCCUGAGAAAUGCUCGUUUGGGAUUCAAGGGGGAAAAUUUUUGGGCUUCAUGAUAACAUCAAUGGGGAUUGAAAUAAACCCGGAUAAAGGCAAGGCGAUCUUAGAAAUGAAAAUCCCAACAAGUGUAAAGGAGGUUCAACGUUUAACAGGACGAAUGGCCGCCUUAUCACGCUUUCUGCCAGUGGCGGGUGAUAAAGCGGCCCCAUUCUUCACCUGUUUAAAAAAGAAUUCAAAGUUUCAGUGGACAGAGGAAUGCGAACAAGCUUUUACCAAGUUGAAAGAAACAUUAGCAACGCUACCAGUACUCUCCAAGCCAACGCCAGGCGUCCCCUUAAUACUCUAUUUAGCAGUCACUGACAAGGCGGUGAGUACGGUUUUGCUCCAAUUAGAAGGAAAUAAGCAGAAGGUUAUAUAUUUUGUGAGCCAUACUUUGCAGGGGGCGGAAUUGCGGUACCAAAAAAUUGAAAAGGCGGCUUUGGCAAUUCUGAAAAUAGCAAGGCGCCUCAGGCCUUAUUUCCAAAGUUUCCAAGUCAAAGUUAAAACUGAUGUUCCCUUAAGGCAGGUACUCCAGAAGCCUGACUUAUCAGGGCGAUUGGUCAGCUGGUCAGUUGAGUUAUCAGAGUAUGAUAUACAAUAUGAGCCGAGGGGCCAAGUUACAAUUCAAAGUUUGAUCGACUUCGUGGCGGAGUUAACACCCACGGAAGGCGAGAAGACUCAAGGAGAAUGGGUCUUAUCUGUGGAUGGAUCCUCCAAUAACACUGGAAGUGGAGCUGGGAUAACCAUUGAAAGUCCAGAUAAAAUGAUCAUCAAACAAUCACUAAAAUUCGAGUUCAAGGUGAGCAACAAUCAAUCCGAAUAUGAGGCUUUGAUCGCCGGCUUAAGGCUAGCCAUUGAGUUAGGUGUCCAGAAGUUAUUCGUCAAGGGAGAUUCGCAGUUGGUGGUUAAACAGGUGAAAGGCGAGUAUCAGGUGAAGGAUCCGCAACUUUCUAAAUACUUGGAAGUGGUGCGCAGAUUAAUGAUGGAAAUCAAAGAGAUUAGAGUGAAACAUGUCCCGAGGGGUCAGAAUGAGAGGGCUGAUGUAUUAGCAAAAUUGGCAAGCACAGGGCGAUUGGGCAAUUAUCAAACAGUCAUUCAAGAAACCCUGCCUCGCCCAAGUAUUGAUUUGGUAGAAAUAAAGUUAAAAGCAGUAAAGUCAGUGAUUGAAGGCGAGCCUUCCUGGAUGGAGUCAAUCAAGAUCUUCCUAGAGAGCCCUCCAAAGGAUGAUGAUCUAAACACGAGAGCAAAACGCAGGGAGGCUAGUUUUUACACACUGGUGGAUGGUGAGUUGUAUCGGCGGGGUAUUAUGUCUCAUAUGCUCAAAUGUGUUGAUACUAAGGAUGCCCCGGGAAUAAUGGCGGAAGUCCACGAAGGAGUGUGCUCCAGUCAUAUCGGUGGGCGAUCCUUGGUAGUAAAGGUUUUAAGAGCAGGAUUCUACUGGUCCACGAUGAAGAAGGACUGUCUGGAAUAUGUUAAGAAAUGUGAAAAAUGUCAAGUCUUUUCUGACUUACAUAAGGCUCCGCCGGAAGAAUUAACAACCAUGAUGGCGCCUUGGCCAUUCGCUAUGUGGGGAACUGACAUUUUAGGACCAUUCCCAGUAGCAAAGGCACAAAUGAAGUAUAUCAUCGUGGCGGUUGAUUACUUCACCAAAUGAAUAGAAGCUGAAGCGGUGGCGACUAUCACAGCCGCCAAGGUAAGAGAUUUUCUGUGGCGAAGGAUUGUGUGCAGAUUUGGGGUUCCCAUGGCGUUGGUAAUGGACAAUGGAACCCAAUUUACAAGUAAUGUUACCCGGGAAUUUUGUACGAAAAUGGGAAUUGAAAUGCGAUUUGCCUCGGUAGAACAUCCACAAACUAAUGGACAGGCUGAAUCAGCCAACAAAGUUAUUUUGAAAGGCUUAAAGAAGAAGCUGGAUGAAGCGAAAGGACUUUGGGCGGAGGAAUUACCCGGCGUCCUGUGGGCAUAUAACACCACUGAGCAGUCAAGCACGAGGGAAACCCCGUAUUGUUUAACUUAUGGAACUGAUGCCAUGCUCCCUGUGGAAAUUGAAAAUCAAAGUUGGCGAGUGGCUCGGUUUAAUGAGAAUGACAACGGGGAAAAUCUGAUAGCAAAUCUAAUUAUGUUGCCUGCGGAACAACGGGAGGCACACAUAAGGAAUGAGGCGGCAAAAGUGAAGGUUGCAAGAAAAUUCUCAACAAAAGUAGUGCCAAGAACGAUGAAGGUAGGAGACUUAGUGCUCCGAAAAAACACCAUACCUGACAAACACAACAAACUCUCGCCCAAUUGGGGCGGGCCAUACAGGGUUAUAGGCGACGUGGGAGGAGGAGCUUAUAAAUUGGAACAACUUAACGGUCAAAAGGUUCCACGAACAUGGAACGCCUCACAUCUGAAGCAGUAUUUUAGUUAAAAGAAACAACAAAGGUGAAUGAAGCCGCACUCUUUUUCCCUUUCUUUGGAAAGGUUUUUAAUGAGGCGGCAUAUGUAAAGAAUGAAGGGACAAUUGUUCCCAUAUAUGAAAAAGUAAUGAAAAGAUCAUUUCAACAUAAUUGCUUAUUUUUUGAUUUAUAUUACGAGUUUAUGCAGUGCAAAUCGUAUCAAGGUAUACAAAUACCGCGAUUAAAUCUUUCGGAAUAAGAAAGUGUCGCCAUCAAACGUUAAAAGCCUUGGCAAUUCUAGUGGCCACUAGAAAUCAAGCCUCGUCGAAAAAUCGGCUAAGGUAUAUAGACCUAAAUAACAACAAAAUCUGAUAAACAUCAAGGUAACAACUUCAAGGAAACAACAAAAGAACUUAAACGAACUUCGUUAAAGGUAAGGAAGGGGCGAAGCCCAUACAUGAAUUAAAAUGACAAAUAAACAAAGGGGCAAUGCCCAAAGCAAAAUUCUGACUUAAUAAAAUAAAAACAGAAUGAAUUCAAGUCAGGUUCUCAUUGUUGGCGUUGUUGUCCUGGCUUGCAACAGCUUGAGGGUCUUCCUUCCCUUGAUCUUCAUUCUUGUUUUGAUCAUUCCUAUCUUCGCCAUUCCCUUCCUCAGGCUCACUCUCAGAAUCAAACUGAGGAAGAAGGUCGAGGCCAAUGUCAUCAUCGCCAACCACUUGACCAUCUUUGAUCUCCUUCAGAUACCCGAUGCGGGAAAGAUCGAAGCCCGGUUCAACCACACUUAUUUGCUCUUUGGCCGCCAGAAAGCCUUGAGCGAAUUGGAGGGAGGCGCGCCCUAGAAUGGAAGCAUUCAGGCGUUCAUAUUUCUUCUCCAGCUUUUGGCACUUGGCUUGAACAGCAGUAUGUUUGUCAUUGAUGGCUUCUUUCAGAGACUUGGUCUUCUAAAGGAGCAGGUUAGAAGCCGCCAAGUCAUCAGUUAACUUGGCGCAUUUCUCCUCAGAAGACUUCAGAUUUUUGUUGGCGGUCUCAGCGUCGACCUUCGCUCGCUCAUAUGCAGCCUUAUAAUCAGCCGCCUUCUUCUCAAAACGGUUCUUAGCCGAUAUCAAUUCUUUCACACACUGAGCCAUUCCCGCCACAGUGCUGGCGGCAGAAAGUGCAUGAAAGAUGGCCUGGGAAGCAAUGUUGGGGGGGCCUUGACCGGAAAUAUCUUUGUGAAUCCGGUUGUCAAAAGUACGGGUCAUGAAGUCCAACCCGUUGAAGUGGGGAUCAUAUAAACUCAGCAAAGGGGGAGGAGCCUCGCCACCAAUGGCUGAGCUAGUGCCAGCAUGGCCAAAUGGAGUUGGCGGUCGGUUGAUCAUCAUGCUCGAAUCCUGGUUGGGUGGCGGGAUAUUGUCAUGUCCCUUCUUUUUCUCCGCAGGCUGACUUUUGGAAGCCAAACCAUUUGGAUCGAGAGUUGACUGGUGAAGAGGUUUACCACCAGCAGCGCCUGAAGUUCUUUGGCGCUUAGGGUCCCUGACGUUAUCAGAGCCCGAGGCACCUUCAUUCUUUUUCUUCUGCUCAGCCUCGGCGGCCCUUUUCUUCGCCGCCGCAGUAGACUGGGCGAGGUAUUCCUUCAUCUUCAAUGGGUUAGCGUCGAUCUUGCUUUUUCCCAUCGUAGCUACAUGGAAAGUAUUGGUUAGACAAGACACAUGAACAAAAAGAAAAACAAGUUAUGUGCAAAGAUUAUAAACUUACUAAAAAAUUGAUUUAAAGUGCCGGAUUUCGACGCCUCAAUCAAGUCAUGGCCAGAGAUUACUGGUAGUGUGCGAAGAUAAUCGGCGAUACCUUGCUCAGAAUCAUCCAAGGCGUCAUACGAAACGGAUAUUUUUCGGAGAGGGUUUUUUGUCCAGUAAAAGGGGAAGAGAGGAUUAUUAUCGGAAUCUCGAAAUAAGUUAUUUAUUUCAGGCGAUUCCAUAACUUUGGAGUAUUUUUUCUGCCACACUUUGUAAUGGCUUUUAAGGGCGGUGAAUCGGCUCAUGUUCUUGCGGGCUAAAAGGGGAACCCACUUGACAGAUGUAGGUUUUGUGGUGACUGUCUUAUAGAAAAGGAAAAACAAGGGAUAGGUGGGAGUGAAACUCAAAUGUUCACAGAGAAUUUCAAAGCAGCGGAUAAAACCCCAGGCGUUGGGUUGCAGUUGACAAGGCGCCACGUUCAGAAAGGAAAGAACGUGACAUAUAAAGGGCGAGAAUGGAAGUUUGAUAUUCAAGUCCAAGAAAAAAUAACCAUAAACAAAAAAGAAAUCGGGCGAUUCAUCGGAUGAUUCUUUGCGUAAAAGAACACAAUCAUCCUCGCCACAUGGGAGAACAUUCAACAGAUGAUCUACGUUAUUAGAGGUGGCAGGAUUUAUCUUUGUAAACCCUUGGGAAGAUAUUCGAAGUGAGCUGAUGCUCCCAAUACUUCCCGAGAUGGAACGCCAAAGACAUUUAUCUUCAACCAAAUGUGCGUUUGAACGCCAUUCGGCUGAAGACAAAUCUCCAUUAGAAGAGAGAAUAGAAUUUACAGAGCCGGCGGGACCGGAAUCCUCGUGAGUAGAAGGCGAGGAAUGAAUUUCAAUAACAGUGGGGGCAGAAACUUCCCUAGUGGGGGCAGAAACUUCCCCCUCCGUAGAGGGUGAAGAGAGUUCUAAGGAAGAAAUACUGAUAUUUUGCAUCGACAUACUGGGUAAUUUCAUAAAAAUAAAUAGAAGAUGAACAGAUUCAAAAAGAAAAGAGAAGAAGACGAACAGUGUCAAGAAAGAAGAAAGAGAAAGGACUCACCGGAGGAAGAAGUGGAGGAUUGAGUAAAGAGGAUGUCGGCUAUGGGAGAGCACCGCGCAAUGACGACGGCCGGGGUGACGGAGAUUCACCGGAGUUCGAAAAGGAGAAGGCAAAAAUUUCAGAGAAAGUUUCAGAGAUAAAGUUGCAGGAAAGUAAAAAGUGAAAAGUGAAAUGUGAAAAGGGGUUUUUAUAGAGGAAGAAAGAGGAGAGAGUAUGAGUGGGAAAGAUCGUGAAGAGUCGUGGGAUUUGAAAUUUGAAAAGGUAUGGAGUGAAAAGACGUAAUUCCUCGAGACGCACACCCGGAAACUGCAUUCAUGGCCAAUGAUGAUAAAAAUCCCGGAAAACAAGGGUCACGUAAGUAAGUUGGAAAGACGUGAUGGACGGUUGUGACAAAGGGCGAUGCAUCAACGAAAUAAAGAUGGCGUGGUAAUGAGUAACAUAACGGUGGCGUUAUAUCACGGAAAUGGCGACAUAUCACAACCGUGAGGAACGGCGACACAAUUAUUAGAAGCACAAAGUAAAUGAUAAAAGCAGGCGAUGAAGUAGCAUAUAAAGACAUUUCGACUCAACUUACUUGAGCCUCAUGUCUUGGGGGCAUGUGGACUGGGCGGGACAUAAGGAUCCCUUAUUCCCGCCCAAAUCGAGCAUUUAGAUGAACGAAAGCAGCCAUGGCGGGGUUUGCGGAACAACAUCGAAUCCCGCCCUUCCUUUGGACAGGCCCACACGCCAGCUGGAAGAUUCCUUUAGAUUUGUCUUAUAUGUAUAGAGGCUUGGGCCCCGGUUGUCAGGCCCAAGUACAGUAAAAGUCCACAUCAUGACCACUCCCUCUAUAAAAGGAGAGGUCAACACCUUGUAAAAAGUACCUUUUGAACAUUUAAUGAGAAUAUUCCUUUUAUGAUAUUUUUAGUAUUCUGCCAGGGUUUACUUUCUGUCAGUCUCUUACGUCAGAUCUCCCUAGUACAGAACAAUUAGGAUUUCCAUACAUAUUGUUUUCCGGUAGAAGACCGAUUAGUUAUAAUAAGGCUCAUUAGAUAUAACUAUUUAGUUUAUUAAAUUUUGCAUUGUUUAUUAUGUUAUUUCCUUUAAUUUCAUUUUAGAAAGGUCUCUUGUGAGUACGCUAGUAUUAGUAUAAAUAUUGUAUUCCCUUUCAUUAUGAAAUUAAGAAGAAAAUUGAUCAAAGUCUUUCUUUUCUAUCUCUUUCUUAGUUUAAAUUUUAGGAUUCUUAGUGUUGUUCUUGAAAUUACCUUCCUAUCAUUUUCUUACCCAAUUACAAGAUGACACGUGGGUUAAAAAUUCAGAAAAGUUAUCACUUUAAAAUUUAACAAAAUAUUAAGAAAGUAGGUGUCAGGAACUUUUUUAUUGAGUAACAACCAAUUUUUUUAGGUAAAUACAAGUUUUCUCCUAAACAUAAUUUAACUCAUUCUUACGACUCCUAUAACAAAAAUAAUGUUUCUUAAUUUUGUAGAAUGAUUGGACACGUCAAUUUUCUGUUUUUUAUUUUAGAAACUGUUUUUGAAAACAGUUUUUUAAGAAAACCUUUUUUGAAUGAGAUGUUAUCUAAUAUCUAAAAGAAAUAAUUUAUAAACUAGAAAUAAAAACAGAAAACAUCGUUUAAUUGUUCUGAUAUUUUAAUUUUUAAAACCGAAAAUGAGAAUUGUUUUGAAAAACUAUUUUUAAAAAUAGGUUGUGGUUAGUUUUUUUUUUUAAUUUUUCAGCUUUUAAUAAAAUAGAUUCAAGUUUUAGUUUUUUAAUUUCUUCUGUUCAAGAAAAAAAAAGGUUUAGUUUUUCUUAAUUUAGGAAUUUUUAAUUUUUAAAAAUGAAAAUGAGAAUAGGUUUUUAAAAACUAUUUUUGAAAAUAGGUUGUGAUUAGUUUUUAUUUUUUAUUUUUCAGCUUUUAAUAAAAUAGAUUCAAGUUUUAGUUUUUCUUCUGUUAAAAAAAAGGGUUUAGUUUUUCUUAAUUUAAGAAUAACUUUCAGAAAAUAUUAUAAAAACGAUUUUUCAAAAGAAAAAAACUGGAUGAAUAACAGCGUUAGGCUCCUUUGUUUUAUACAUUAAAGAAACUAUAAUUUGAAAAUCAACUUUUCCGAUGUAUUAAAAAAAAAUAAAAAAUCAAAAAUAGAAUCCAGAAACAUCUCUAAUAUAUUUAGAGAUUUUAACAUAGAAUCCAGAAACAGAUUAUAACAAAUAAGUUUCAAAAACAUAAAACUAUCCGAAUUCUCUCCUUGGUAGAGUUUUUAAGGCUUUAUAUUUUCCAGCAGGUAGCAUGAAUGGAGCCAAGAAAGGUUACCGUCCGAGUUAUGCGUGGACUAGUAUCCUAAAAACAUCGGAGUUGGCUAUGAAAGGAAGCAUGUGGCGUAUUGGUAAUAGAUUGAAUGUUCGUAUUUGGGAUGACAAUUGACUCUCGCAUGGCCCUCCAAUUAAUUGCAGGCAAGAUGUGGUGGAGGAACUUAGUUUGAAAUUUGUAGUUGAUCUUAUCCAGCCAGGUGGUGGCUCUUGGAAUAAGGAAUUGGUGGAAUGGACUUUCUGUCCAAAUACUGCAUUGCGAAUCUUGGCUGUCCCCUUACCGGUGCAUGCAACGGAAGAUUUACUUUUUUGGGGUGGAACUCCAGAUGGGUGCUAUACAGUGAGCUCUGGCUAUGCUUUUUUACAAAACGUAGCUAGCCAAGCUUCUCCUUCAUCAUCCACCUCGGCUGAACCUGGUUUUGAUGCGACUCUUUGGCGUAAAUUAUGGAAAGCUCCAUCCCUUCCUCGGGUUAAGGAGGUGGCAUGGCGUGUGUGUGUUGGAGCGGUGCCCACUAGGCUUUGUUUGCGUCGUAGAGGAAUGGACUUGGAUCCUAGUUGCCCGGUGUGUGUCCAUGAGGAGGAGAGCAUUGAUCAUCUUUUUAUCCAUUGUCCUGUUGCGCGAGGUUGCUAGUUUGUGAGCCUGGGUGUGCGCACAAAUGCUCGUACAUCGACCUUCAUGGACUUCAUGGCUGCGGUGCUGCGUGACAAGGAUGGCUGGUGCAUUGCAGAAGUUCAGCGCAUGAUCUAUUGCUUGUGGGAGGGUCGGAACAAGGUUCUUUUCGAGCUCCGUGAACCUGGUUGUGCUACGGUGCUGUCUCGUUUUGCAGCGAUGGAGUCCCCUUCACAGCUAGCGACGCAUGGGAGUCAGAGGGAGCGGUCGGUGGUGGCAAAAUGGUUGAGACCAGCAGCUGGGAUGAUCAAAAUUAAUGUGGAUGCCUCUCUUGGUGGUGAUUUUCUUGCUGGUUUCGGUAUGGUGGCUAGGGACGAGGAUGGCGAGAUCUUGGCGGCGGCUUCACACUACCCGACGGCUGCUACUUCAGCCACGAUGGCAGAGGCGUUUUGUCUCCGUUGGGCCAUGGAGCUUUCUUCACAGUUAGGAUUCAGGGGGGUGCAGUUUGAGACUGAUUGUCUUCAGCUUUUCCAUGCUUGGAAGAAGGGUGUUGGUCAUUCUCCUUUAUUUUCUUUGCUUCGGGAUUGUAAGGCUUUUGUUCGUUUGUUUGAUUGUGUUGAGUUUACUUUUACUCGUAGACAGGGCAAUACUUGUGCUGAUUUUAUGGCUCGGAACGCCUCUACCCUUUCAAAUACUGUUUGGGUGGAGGAGGGUCCCCCGGGUUUAUGUAGCCUUUUACAGGCGGAUCUUUUGGCUUCUAUGCCGGUUAUGAUUUAAUAUAUGUUAUGCCACGUUCAAAAAAAAAAUACCGCAAACAAAUAAGACAUUUUAUUGAUUAUUGACAAUAGAUAUAAUUUUCGUUUUCACUUGGAGUUUGCCCAAUAUGGUUGGCCCAAUAUGUUAUCUUAUCGCCCCAAUAUGUUAAAACCUGCACCUAAAUUUGACAAAAACCUGAAGUUAUGAUUAUGUUUUUUUUUUUUUUUUUUUUUUGAAAGAGAAGUUAUGAUUAUGUUACUAUGCAAAAUAAAUAUUUUUUUUAAGACUCACUUUUAAAUAUCAUUUUCAAAAGUUGAUCAACUUGCUGAUAUCAAGUCCACCAAGUCUAAUUCAAACUAAAAAUGGAAUUGAUGAUAGCAAUUUACCCAAACUGAAAACGGAAUCCUAUGAUGCACGGGUACCCCAGUUUGGCCAACGUACCCGUACCCGGUACUUGUACUCUUGGGUACUUCAUGGGUACUUAAAAAUGCUUACACAAUCUAUACCAAAAUUUGAUUGGGUAGUUUUUUGGUAUCAUUUGGGUACUUUUUUGUAUCUCUACUUCUAUUACACAUAAAAGCCUAUAUACUCUACUAAUAUCUUCAAUUUGCAUCAAUCUAUUAGUCAAUUUAAGUUACUCAAUUUUGAGUUUUCUUUCUUGCAUCAUGUAAAAAUCUCAAUUUCUUCCAUUUGCUUUGUUAUUUUUUAAAACAAUGUGAAUUUUAAGAUUUUAUUGUACAAAUUUUCUCCUAAUAUGUUGAAAAUAUAAUCAUUAAAUAUAUAUAUAUACUAACGUACCCGUACCCAUGAUUUUUUGAAAAAUGCCGCACCCGUACCCGUAUCUGGUACCGUACCCGUACUCGUGCAUCCUAGACGGAAUCCAUAACUUGAAACUAGCAAUUUUAUUGCCAUAACAGCAAUUUUAUUCCAUGUCUAUUCCUAUAGAACACAACAUUGUUUGAUAUAUUUAAAGCAAAAUGACAACGAAACUAAAGACGGUAAAAGAUGAUGCAAGGGUUCAAAGGGCUUUGAUGAUCUCCUCAGCACUGGAGACGGUGAACUCUCCUCCAUCUUCAACAUUUGCAACCUUCACCUUCAGGUCUUCCACCAGCAGAGCAAACCUCCUUGAGCGAGUGCCAAGACCUUUGUCAUUGAGGUCAAGCUCCAGCCCGAGAUCAUGGGUGUAUUUGGCAGAACCAUCAGCAAGGAACUUCACAUGCUUGUUCUCUGGGAAUGUUUUGGCCCAUGAACUCAUCACAAAAGG
rnacentral:lncRNA from 1 species